rnacentral:lncRNA from 1 species
GCUACUAUCUAGAUCUACUCUAGUUUAGAGAAGAGAGGAGAGCUCUCAUCUCUAAACCCUAGCUUUUGCUCUGUCUAUGAAUAAUGAAUAAUGAUCAAGGGGUGCCUCCUCUAGGGGCCAGGGGGUCUGGUUAUAUAGACUUUUCAGAUGAAUCUGGGCCAUUGGAUCCAACCGACAUUGAUCGUGUGGUUUUCCUUGAAGUAUUAGGUCGGUGGAGCAUGAUCCGCGAAGUUGAAGCUGAUUGGUUACUGUAGCUGGGCGGGCACCCAAGGGACUUGGGCGGGCGCCCUGCCCCCGGGCCCGAUCGGCCUCCCAUUCAUUCCCGUGGCUUCUGGAGUCUUCUAGAUGGUAGAAAAUUGCGCGGCAUGUUAAUAUCUCUAUGUAAUCCCGACGUGUGGGCCUUUCUUCCGUAUUUCCUGAUAACCCCCUGCAGAAAUAGACAAACACCAAAACUCAUGGAAUUCUGUGAGAUAAAACCCUAAGUCUAGAUGUUAAUUUCAUUUGGACCCUUUUCUUUGUUUAUUUGAUAAUUAAAUUUGAUACUUAAGGACCGUCAACAAACUCCCCCAAGCUUACCUCUUGCUUGUCCCUGAGCAAGGAUAGACUCAGCAAUGGAUCAGAAGUUGUUGCAAUAUCUUAAAAAUUUGACGGUACACAUGCUUUUAAAUAAGAUCUCAUCUCUGAGUUAGAGUAAACUGUCAAGAACUAAAACUUACUUACUUUACCUUUCACCAUGGGACUUAUAACCGUCACUUCUGUCUUGAGUAGUUAAAAGAUAGAACAGUCUAGCCAAGUGCCAUGUCUCUUAUUCUUGAUCAGCUAUAGCUCUGGAGUUUUUGCAGAUUUUCAAAUAAAACUCAGAGAUUCCUUGUAUGACUCUCUAAAUCUCUCUUUUGUGGUAUUUCUGGAUCCUUACCAAGGCAGUGAUGGUAUAUGCCUUCUCUCAAGAUAUGUGGUAUUUGUGGUGUAAGGCAUAGUGACAUUGCCUUCUCUCUCACCCUACUCUAAUAAGGCUUUAAUAUCUGGAGCUCAUAGGUGGGAGAUAAAGUAUACAUACUUACAAGACAUUUAUUGUAUAGUCAAACCAUAGAUCUAGAGAAACAAGUCAAUAAGUCAAAUCAAGAUGUGCAUGUGUGGCGAAUGAAUGGUGUAUGGUGAUGAUGGUGAUAACAAUGGUGGAAGUCUAAUUCUACUUUUGCUCUUUUGAGGGGAUACAUACCUUCCUUGCUUUUUGAAACUUUAUGAGGAGAAUGAGAUGCUCUAUCUUUCAUUUUUCUUUCCUCUCAGGUGGGUAUCCUAUACCCCUAAUUCUACUACCGCACACUUGUCCAUUUUUACCUCUCGUCUCACUCUUUUUCUUUUCAUUCGAGGUUCCGGGCACUUGACCCUUUUUAUUUCCUCGUUUAUUAUUUUUUUUCUCUCUUUUUUUUCAGAGCACUCAUCUCUUGAGAUAAUAUAGCAAGUGGUAGUAGCAAGAUAACUUGAGCAUUUAUUUCACAAGGGAAAACAGAAAUAUUUUUGGCUAUUUUUGGGUGGUUCUGGAGAUGGACAUGGAUGGAUAUAUGUGGAUGGUACUUCCGGAGUAGAAGUAGCAUAUAUGAGUGAACGUGCAAGUGAAUCUUGAUUUAACCACAUGACAAGCUCCUAAGGGUCUACAUAGCUUGACCACACUCAAUGCUCAUAAGCAGUAAAUAAUAAAUGUGUGGCUCAAAGUCUAGCAAGCAUGUAUAUAUGGCUGUGGUAGGAAUUUAAACUCUCAUCAUACAGAAACUCAUCAUGCAAUAUUUUAAUGAUUUUUCAAAGAUAAAAUUCUCUAGAAUUCUAGCAUCUCUAGGAACAGAUAAACAGCAGCUCAACCUUCCCAUAUCAUAUCCGUUAACAACUUAGAUUUCAGAUCAAGUUUUCAUCCCACAAGUUUAGAUCUAGAGCAAGCUUUAAAUUAUAACAGUUAUGUCUAAACUUGAGAGAGAACUUCAAAUGUGCAAAUUAGGCAGAGCAACUAUUCAUCAUAUCCAUGCUAGAGUUUUAUUAUUAAGAUUCAGAUUAGCAUAGCCACUUUAUUUAUUUAUUAAACACAUUAAGCAAAAGAUAUAUAUAAGCACAAAAUCUUUAUUUGGUUUUUCAUAGUUUAUGUAUUUUAAUAUUCUAAUAUAAUAUAAGUAUAAAGAUAGGUAGAAAUACUUAGCGAGAUAAAUGGGGGUGCUCUCCCCCAAGCUGAAUUUUGACGUAAUUUCUCUUGAUGUAGCUAGCAGGUGGCAGAGGUGUAUUUGAAAGUCAGCAGCAUUCUGACAACGAUUAGAAUGUCCUCUGUCUGCUAGUCUUCUUGAUUCUUAAAUUCUGUGGAGCUCAAAUAGACAACAAAGCUUGUGGAACUAAUUAAGUGUUAGCAUAAAUAUCUAGCCUUCAUCACGUUGAGCUUCCUCAAUAAAUAUUACUCCCAGUUUUUAUAUUUUUAUUUUAUAAAGCAGAAAAGAAAUAUUUAUUUUAUUUUUAUGGCACCACAAUGAAGGUACUUAUGGGUUUUAUGCCACUCGUAUACUCACAUGGGGCUUAGUAUUUUUCAACAUUUUUAUUUUCUUUUCAAGAUAGCAUGAUUAACUAAUAAUCUAUUUAAGCAAAGUAAAUAAUUAAAGGGAAAAGGGAAUGCAGAAAGGAUAAAUAUGGAUAACUACCGAUUUUACCUUUCGGUGAGGGUUCAAUGUUUUAAAUCUUCUGAACAAGACUUCUCAUAGUGUUCAUUCUUUAGGUGCGUCACUUGAUUCAGGUGCGGACCUUGACGUCUGCACCUCUUCGUUUGCCCAGCAGUUCGAAGUGCGGUGUUGGUAGUGUCCUGCUCAGUGUGUUUGUGCUCAUAGAUCCAGGUCCUUCACUUGGUAGAGUCUAAGAGUUAUAAAACUCCUCCGUGUUUUGCUCGAAGUGUACCUGCUCAUAGAGACAAGGCAGAGAUCAAGUGCAUGGGUCCUGUUGGUGGAAAACACCAACAGAACCUAAAGUGUAUUUGUUCUUCUCUAACCCUAAGCAUAGUGAGCAAGACAAAGUUGAUGGAUGAAAAGUUCAUGAGUGUAGCACUUAUAACAUUUGUCAGAUCAGAUCUCUCAACCAUAUGGAAAGAUAAUCUAUCUAUGUAUAUGUCUUUUUCUUUAUAUAUCUCAAUGAUUGAAUGUGUAACAUUUUAGCUCACAUGAUUAGGAGUGUGGGAUGAUGGAGGUAGUACUAAGAACAAGGAUUAAAGGAGUAAACAUGUUGAAUCAGUUGGGUUGGUUAAUCUAGAGUUGUAAAUCAUACAUAUUUGUCUCUUUUAUUUAUAUGAACGCUAGAACCAAGGAGAAGCUUAUAAAAGUGAUAGUCAAGUACCUUAAGAUGUUACCUUAAUUGAAGAGUGAUGGUAUAGUAUCACCUUGUGGAAGCUUUCCUUUCUUAGCGGUUGUGCAUCGUGUUUGUGGCACCCUCCAUGGAUCAUCUCUUAUGAGCUACGUCUUUCUUGUGCAAAUUGUUAAACUUCAUGUGUCACUCUCUUCGUCUCUGAUGUGAGUUUAUCUCAGGACUUCCCAAAUCGAUAUUGAAAGUUUUUCUACAGGGGUUAGUCCGACAAAAAUAUACCAAUGUCUACACAAGCAGUUUUUAGUUCAAUAACCGAACUAGACUCCAUGUCCAAUCAGAUUAAGGAAGACUGUUUAACCUAAGCACCAUGCUUAAUUUGAAAGCCAAUAGAAGUAUGUGCAGUACUUCCAAACUAACACUUACUAGUAAAUAGACAAAGGUAACAUGACAGCAUUUAUAGAGAUCUACUCAAGUGGAGAUGAAGUAGUGUGAUUAGUAUUUAACAAAUUGAGCAUGUCUCAAAGGUAGGGACAACCAACAUAGCAACAUGGCAAAGGAUGUUAAGUACUCCCCCAAGCUUGAAUUUUGCAAAAUUCAAGUUUGGAUGAAUUUAAUUCAAUGUUGUAUGAUGAUUGGUUGGACAUACCUUGUGCUUGUCAUUCAUCCGAUCUUCUUGCUCCAAUCCUAGAAAGGUUAGUGACAAGAAUACCCGAAGGAAUAUUUUUACAAUUAUCCUUAUUUGCUCAAUACACAAGGUAAUGUUGCAAAUAAUUAAAAACUCAUGUUACGAUCUGAUCAGUGCUUAUUUGAGGACACUAAGCUUGUCCUUGGGAAACCAUCAAUUUAUGUCGGCAAAGUGGUUUCCCUUCCAACGCUGACCUAAAUCAAGAUCAACUCAACGAGAUCUGCAAUAUUUAUUAUAGACAUAUGCAUCGACAACCACCCUUUUAAAGUUUUUAUAAAUAGAGAGGAAGAGGGGGUUGGAGAUCUCAAAUGUGGUGAUGUUGGAGAGACCAAUAGAUUGGGAAGAUAUUGCAUAUGAGCAUGGAGUAAACAAAGUGGCUAUGAAAUAAAUUCCAUGCUCAUUAAUGUUAUCUUCGUCUCCAAUCUGAAUGUUUGGAGUUUCUCCUAGAUUGGUCUCACCUAUGUCCUCUUCUGUAGUUGGAUGAACCUCAUCUUCAAAGGGAGUCAAGAACUCACCAUUUGAAAUUGAGCCAAAGUUAGAGUCCAUUAAGGCUUCUUCCUUAUCCAUCCAUUCUACACAUUCUAGCCAUUUAGAACUUGUGAUCAGGAAAGGGGAGGUGUUAGAAUUUUCUAUAUGGCUUGGCUCUCCUUCACUUGAUAUGUCAUCCUCGACUUCUUCAUAACAGGAACCAGGACAUUCUCUAAGAGAACCAUUAUUGCAAGGAUUUGAAUUAUCCCUGCUUGAAGGUCUCUUAUGGAGCCAGAAGUCUAAACCAUCAGUAUCUGAAAGAUUUAAGGUCGGAAUUCCUUCCUCCCUUGGAGAAUUUUGGCGUAUUGAUGGUUUAGGAUCGAUAGCUAAAGUUUGGAAUUGAAGUGGUUGUGAUCUGGCUAUCGAAACUUCUUCUUCUUGUCUAGGAACUGGUUCUGUCUCUUUCUCAGGGAUAUAAAAGCUAGGAGACUUUCCACUUAAUAAAUCAAUCAAAUUCCAAGCUUCACUAGCAGGUAGGUGAUAGAAGGAUCCUCUAGAGGCUGUAUUCAAGGUUUGCUUAUUUUCCCCACUAAGGCCCUCAAAAAAGUGAAUUAGAAGAACUUCUUCUAGAAUAGAAAGCUUUGGGCCAGUGAGAGUAAGGUUAAUAAAGCGGUCCCAUGAUUUCCUAAGAGAUUCUUCUUCCAGUUGUCUAAAAGAAAUAAUCUCACGCCGAAGUUCCGCCACUUUGGAGAUUGGAAAAUAUUUAGAAAGAAAACUACUAUAUAACUCCUUCCAAUCUCCAUGAACACUCCCUACUUUGAGUUUGUACCAAUGUCUAGCUUUUCCCGUUAAAGAGAACGGAAAGAGCUUCCAUUUAAGGGUCUCAUCGGACAUUCCUUCUAUACGAAGGAGGUCACAGACUCGAUAAAACUCUCUUAGGUGUGUGUAUGGGUUUUCCUCACCUUCUCCUGAGAAAGGUUGUUUUUGAACAAAUUCUAUGUAUUCGGGGUCUAUCUCAAAACUAGAUGCUAUGAUAGGCUUUGAAGAUUUUGGUGGUUCGAGAUAUGUGCCCGUAGGUCUAUGAAAUUCAUAGAUAGACAUGUUUGAAUUCAUGAUAGACCAGAGAUCAAGGAUUAGAUAAGAAGAAAGAUUAGCAGAGAUGAGGCAAAGGAUAAAAGGAAAAUAUUUUUAUUAUUUUUUUUUAUUUUUUAGAAAAUGAUUAAGCUAGUUCGUAGUCAACUCAGCAACCGUCUCCCCGGCAACGGCGCCAAAAAUGCUUGUUGACACUUGCUAACACCACUUGAAUACUAGGUUGUCAUCCCCAGCAUGGCACUAGAGUGUACUAUGGUAUUUAUACGCACACAGAUAAUCCGCAAGCGCACGGAUACCGUUGAAGCUUUUACCCGGUUAAAGGUUUUAUCGUAUCCACAAGGAAACGAGAGAACUGAUCUACGCUCUAACUUAACCAAGAUAAGUAAAUAAGUGUAAAUAGGAAAGAUGGUAGAAUCGAAUAAGAACAAUAUUAAAGGUAAGAUAACAGUGAGUGAUAAUAUGGGAAUAGAGAGUAGAGCAAUCUAGUAUAUGGGCGAUGGUAGCAGAAUAGAGAGGAUAACUAUGGUUUCUCUACUUCAAAGGGGUAUGUCUAUUUCUGGGACGAACCACGUGAUAAGAGUACACCACAAAGGAUGCUUAUCCUUAGGCCGAUAAACCCUACCCGUCCUGCUAACGAGAGGUGGACUACAGAGGACCAACGUAACUGUCACCUACGCGGCCUACCACACGAUCCAGCUAGACAGGGGAUAUCCAUAUGUAAUCUAGGUCUAAGCACCACGCUUACACCUAUACUACAACUCCAACCUAUAGCGUCCUAUAGAUUAGAAGUACUCAAAAGAGUUGUGAACCAGAACAUACAUGAUUAGUAAUUGCAUAAUGAAUUAGAAGUAGAUUACCAGAGUCAUCCCAUGAGCAAGCUUGAUUAGAGCUUGAUCAUGACGAAGUACAACCGGAGGAAGAACCGACAGGCCGGCCUCUCCUCUAAUCCUCCUUCGCUCUCCAUCUUGCUACUAUCUAGAUCUACUCUAGUUUAGAAAAGAGAGGAGAGCUCUCAUCUCUAAACCCUAGCUUUUGCUCUGUCUAUGAAUAAUGAAUAAUGAUCAAGGGGUGCCUCCUCUAGGGGCCAGGGGGUCUGGUUAUAUAGACUUUUCAGAUGAAUCUGGGCCAUUGGAUCCAACCGACAUUGAUCGUGUGGUUUUCCUUGAAGUAUUAGGUCGGUGGAGCAUGAUCCGCGAAGUUGAAGCUGAUUGGUUACUGUAGCUGGGCGGGCACCCAAGGGACUUGGGCGGGCGCCCUGCCCCCGGGCCCGAUCGGCCUCCCAUUCAUUCCCGUGGCUUCUGGAGUCUUCUAGAUGGUAGAAAAUUGCGCGGCACGUUAAUAUCUCUAUGUAAUCCCGACGUGUGGGCCUUUCUACCGUAUUUCCUGAUAGCCCCCUGCAGAAAUAGACAAACACCAAAACUCGUGGAAUUCUGUCAGAUAAAACCCUAAGUCUAGAUGUUGAUUUCAUUUGGAUCCUUUUCUUUGUUUAUUUGAUAAUUAAAUUUGAUACUUAAGGACCGUCAACAGAUGGCUUGGGCAGCAAGUCUUUCCGCAAACGCCCCAACUGAAUCGUCAAGCUACGGGGUUCCAGCAAGGACAGAUCUAUCUCGGGUUCCAGAAUCAGGGGAUCCCUAACCAGCCAAUGAAUCUUGGGCAGCAGAUUGGCGGACAGCAGAUUGGUGGCCAAUAGCUUCGUGGUCCGCAGAUUGGGGGCCAAAUGGUUAACCCGAUGUUUCAUGCAGAUCGUGCACCACACAGACACGUGGAAGCUUACCAGCAGGUGCCGGAUCCGCAACCACCUCAUCGGCAAGAUGCCGAUGCUUAUUGGGCCGAUAAGAUUGCUGAAGUAAUGAGAGACCAAUUCGGGAUAAAACCCAAAGUCAAUACUUACUCUUAUCGGACACCGUAUCCUCCCGCAUAUGAUUUGAUUCUGCUUCCACAUCAGUACAAGGUACCGGAUUUUACUAAGUUUUCUAGACAGGAUGACACGUCAACUAUGGAGCACGUCAACAGGUUCAUCAUUCAAUGCGGUGAGGCUGGUAACAGGGACGAGUUAAGGGUUCGUUUGUUCUCAUCGUCAUUGUCUGGAUCGGCUUUUACCUGGUUUAUAUCACUACCUCCGAACUCAGUGAUUACUUGGGAAGAUCUGGAGAAGCAAUUCCACAAAUACUUCUUUUCUGGGGUCCAUGAGAAGAAGAUCACCGAUUUGGUCAAGUUAAGGCAACGCAAUGAUGAAUCGGUCGAGAGUUUUGUGCAGAGGAUACGGGAGGUCAAGAACAAGUGCUAUAGUCUGGUUCUGGAUGAUCAGCAGCUAGCUGAUUUGGCUUUCCAGGGUUUGUUGCCACACAUCAGGGACAAGUACGCCUCUCAGGAGUUUGAAAGCUUAAGUCAUUUGGUGCAGAGAAUUUCUGAUCAAGACGUCAAGCCUUUUGAGCCCAAGAGGGCAUGGAACAAAAAGGUAUCUUUCAUUGAUGAAGCAACAAGCUUAGAUUCUGAUGAGGAACCAGUCAUCGGCUUGGCAGAGUGGGUAAAAAAUAAGAAGCCGAUGUCUUGUCCUUUUGGACAUAAAGAACCGGAGAAGUUCGCGUUUGACACCGCUAAGGCCGAUAGGAUAUUUGACUUUCUGCUUCAGGAAGGUCAGAUCAAGCUAUCUCCCAAUCAUGUGAUCCCAUCGGCUGAGGAGUUAAAGAGGAUGAAAUAUUGCAAGUGGCACAAUGCAACUUCUCACGACACCAAUGAGUGCAAGGUUUUCAGGCAGCAGCUGCAAUUGGCUAUAGAGUCCGGGAGAAUCAAAUUUGAUAGUUCCAAAACCCAGAAGCCGAUGAAGAUCGAUCAACAUCCUUUCCCAACGAACAUGUUGGACGCUAAGGGAAAGGCCAAGAUCUUAACAUCGGAAGCAGCCGAAAGAAGUGCAUCGGUGGAUCCUCAGCAUCAGGUCACUACUGCCGAUGCAAGAGGAAGAGGCUUAGUCCAGGAAGGAACCAGCUCAGGGAGGCCUCGGGAGAAUUGGCAGCAACGUGAAGAUCGGUAUCGGCGCCAGCAGGAGGAUUAUCGUCAGGAAGAGGAAAGACGCCGGCAAGAAUGGAAUCGGCACAGGGAUCACUGGAAUUGACCGUUCUUCAUUCAUUGUUUGGAGGAGAAUAUUAAGCUUCCCACUGUCAGGGAUUGCCCUGAGUGCAAUGGUUAUGAUCGGUAUGAUAGAACCGAUCGGCGCUAUCACGAUAACAAUCGGCGAUCUAAUGGGCCGAUUAGGGGAAGAGCGUCCGUUCACGAUCGGCUGGGGGGCAGGCUCAGCGUGCACGACAGGCUUGGUGAUCGUGUUCAAUAUUUUCCCAGGAACCAGGAAGAACUUGAAGAAAUGGCUAAUGCGCGAGUUCCCGAUGAGUUCAUAUUUUGUAGGGAUGCCAAUACACAUCGGGUGGAAUCAAGGGAAAGUCAUCGCCCAGCAGCAAGGCAGAAGCCACUUCCUCCAUGGUGUCCAGAGGGGUUAACCAGGACACAGAAAAGGAGGUUGCAGCGCGAAAGGCUAGAAGGGCUAAGUAAGGGCGAGAACUCUGGUCAGUCUGGGGAUCAGCAGCAAUCAGAUCCCAAGGGGGAAGGUCCAUCGGCAGAUGUCAACAUGGUCUUUAUGUUCCCGAUGGAGUUUCUUGCGCCAUCCAGUGAUGAUGAUUGUAAUUUUCCGACCAAAUAGCUCAAUUGGCUUUGGACCCGACGACAGCUAUCUUCGAGAAGCCUGCCGAUGAUGAAAGGCAACAUCUCAAAGCCUUGUUUGUCAAAGGAAGGGUUGAUGGGCAGCCGAUGACUAAGAUUCUAGUUGAUGGCGGGGCUGCUAUCAACAUCAUGCCAUAUGCAGUGUAUCGGAAGCUUGGGAAAGGGGAUCAGGAUUUAACCAAGACCGAUAUGAUGCUUAAAGAUUUUGAAGGAAAUGUGUCUCCGGUCAAGGGGGCAAUAUGUGUAGAGUUGACCAUCGGCAGCAAAACUUUGCCGACAACCUUCUUCGUGAUCAGUGGAAAGGGUGCUUACAACUUACUGUUGGGAAGAGAUUGGAUUCAUGCUAACUGUUGCAUCCCGUCUACAAUGCACCAAUGCUUGGUUCAAUGGGUGGGUGACAAGAUUGAAAUUGUCCCAGGAGAUUCUUCUUACGUCAUCGCAUCGGCAGAGGCAGACACCUAUGAAAGGACUAGGUGUAUUUCAGGAGAAGUUUAGGAAAAGGAUUUUCUCAAGGUUGCCGAUUACGAAAUUCCACCGAUCCAAGCAGUCGGUUCUGAUGAAGGUUUUUAAUGGAUAGGUUCGCCGAUGAUGGAAAAUUAGGCCAGGGAUUCACAUCGGCCGAUGAUCUAGUAGAGGUAGAUAUAGGUAGUGGUGAUAAGCCUAGACCUACUUUUAUUAGUGCUAAGCUAGAUUCUGAGUGUAAGCAACAGUUAACUGUUUGUUAAAGGAAUAUAAAGAUUGCUUUGCUUGGGAUUAUACUGAGAUGCCUGGAUUGGACCGAUCAAUUGUUGCAUCAAUCACAUGCAUAACAUGGGCAUCAUUAUCUACUCAAGCAUAUCAUGAUCAUCAUCUACCUUGAGUCAUGUCAUAUUAUGCUAAAGUGUGACUUAACUUGAUUAAAUAUGCCUCCUAUGAUUGUGUUUGCUUGUGCCAUGCUCAUGCUUGUGUGCUAUGCCUUAGUAAAUACUUUCUCUAUGCUUAACUCAACCUUAGGAACAAUGUUCAUGUUGAUCACUUUUUCAAAUUAAGUGCUUAAGUUAUACUUCCACGUAUAGGCCCUAGAAACCUCUUUUGCUUAAGCUUUUAAAAUGUGUUUCAUAAAUUAUUUGCAUGUCAAAACUUUCUACAGAAAUGUUGUAGCAAAUUGUAUAAGGAAUAAAAGUUGUUUUAUGGCCAUCUCAUGAAAAUCAUCACAUCAUGCUCAAAAAUGGCCCACAAGGCAGAUUUGGGGCUGUUUCCAACACUUAGAAAAUUUUCUACGUAUGGGAUUGCAACAGUUUGAUCGUGGGUGUUUUGUUUAGCUUCCAGUUUGAAUUCUAGGCCAAAUCAAACCUUGAUCUUGUAAGCAAUGUUGGAGUCCUCAUGUAGCUCUACAACAUGGAGCAAUUAGCCAGCAAAAUCAUCGAAUGGAUUAGGAGUUAAUCGCAGUGCAAAAUCGAGUUUCAGUCGGGAUCAGAGACUGAAUAGAGUCGCCGUCAGCAGAGGGGAGCUCACCGGUGACGCCGCGUGUCUGGACUCGUGGCGUCCGUAUGUCGCCGUUGGUCCCGCUCGUCAGUCCUCAACAUGUCCUACAGCUCGCCACGGCGCCCCCGGUCGCGUGGUCAGCGCCAUCUCCACUCUGGUUCGCCCUCUCUCGCGUCUGUCGUCUUCUCCGCGUCGCCGCCGCUGCUUCGGCGAGCUCGCGCGCUCGCGUCUCAGCGUCUUCGGCCAAGCGACUCCGUCCAGUGCUCCGCUAGCUUCCCCGCAACACCGUUGUCGAGUUGGUUGCGGCUACCGAGCCUUGGUAAGCCCUCAUUGUCCUCUCCGUCGUGAGCUUACCUUGCCGGAGCUCCGCCAUGGUCACCGGCGUCGUGGGCAGGGCUCUGUAGUCCCCCAUUUCUCCUCGUUCUUGUCCCAAAAGCUCCGCUGAGUCAUGCUGAUGCUCGUCCGAGUGCUCUUUCGCCCGGUCUCCGACCAGAGACGCCGGCGGUCGGCCGCACACCACCGCCGUGCCGCCAUUCGCGAGGGCGAGGUACCUAGGGUUCGGUAGAGUUAGGGUUUCUGGUACCAAUCGGUGCGGAAUGGAGUGAGGAGCACGAUGGUGCUCUUGGCCAUCGCCGAGACCUCGCCGUCGACGAGAUCUCCGGCGGUCAAGUCGCGCCUCUGCUCUCGGGUCACUGGCGUGUGGGGUCCGUUGACUUGCGGGGUCCCCCUGUCAGUCUCUCUUUCUCCUUUGUUUGAUUUAGGGUUUGUGUUGUUUUUGCAAAAAAUCAUAUCUCUAGUUCCUGUGAGCCAAAAAUUGUGAAAUAAAUUUUGUAGUUAUCCUUGAGAUGGCUAGUUUUUAAUGAAAAUACAACAUGCACCUUGUUUUCUGGGAAAAAUAAUUGUUAUGAUUUAAUCUUGUUAUUUAUGUGUUAAUUCAUAUCUUUUGUUAUACUGCUUCUUUUGCUGUGAAAUUUUUAUGUUAUGCUCUGAGUGGUUUGAGUAUGCUAUGAUAAAUAUUUCAUGAUUUUUGAAGUAUUGUAUCUGUGAAAUGUAAUUUAUGUUUGUAAAAUGGCUUGUUUUCUUAUUUAAAUCAUAAUAAAAGUUUGGUGCUUAUGCUGGUACUCUACUCUGGUGUCAAGCUUGUUUAUUGUAAUACUAACAUGUAAAUAAUCUGAAAUCUGUUGUUUGACACUAACUAAGCUAUGUUUCUUAAUUUAUGAAAUAAGCACCUUGUCAUAUGUUAAAUGCUUAUCUCUAAUUUGGCAUGUGCAAUUGUUCUGAAAAUUUUAUGCUAAUGUCAAGAUCUAUGCUUGUGCUUGUGUAAUUUUUGUAGAUUUUUCUAAGCACUGUUGCUGGUAUCUUGUAAUUAUGUCCUUUUAUGGAAUUAAAUUAAUAAAUGCCAUGUAAUUAACUGUUUAGUGGUCAACAUGUGAUGUUCUGUUAAUCUUAAGUUAUGCUUGUGCUGGUAAGCCCUUUGGUUGGCACUGAAUAUGUUUUGGGCUUGUCAUCAAAUAAUUAAUUAAAGGUUUAUAGCUGUCCUGGACAGCAAGGGAGUAAUUUGACUUUUGUGUGACAAUAUCUGGGUUUUCUGAGAGACUUGUUUAAAUCAAAGUUGUUGUAAAUUUUAUGAACCAGCUGUAGCUUAAAUUUGGGAUCAUUUGGUCCAAUAGUUUUGAAGUUAUGGCUUUUCCAAGUUAGGUUCCAGAAAUUGGUGCUUUCUGUUUUUCUGGGACAGAACCUGGAACUUUAAUUGACCUGUUUAAUUUGUGAACCUUGGUGUGAUGUUUAAAUAUGAAAUGUAGACAAUUUCAUAAGCUUUCAUGAAUGUCCUCAUUCAUGUUUAUUGGAUCUGCAUAGCAAUAGUUAUGACUUGUUUACUGAGCUGCACUGUUAUUUUGGUUGUUGCUAUUUAUAGUUUAACUUGGUAAUUGUUGACACUAGCUAACACCACUUAGAUACUAGGUUGUCAUCCCCAGCAUGGUGCCAGAAUGUACAAAGGUAUUUAUAAAUGUAAAGGCUCUCUAGAAAAUAAUAUAUUCUAUCCGCAAGCGCACAGAUAAAACACCUCAUUGUAGCAUUUCACCAGGAUAAGUAUUCCAGGUAUCGUUAUUUAUAAUUUUGCUCAAAAGAACAAAAGGGAUGAAAUUAAAUUAAGGACAAAAUCUAUCAAGGCAUAGACUAGAGAUAAACUUGCAAGAACAUGAUUACUAAUGAGAAACUCGUCACACAGUGUUGACACCGUUUUUGGGCACGUGUCCAUGAUCGGUAAAGUGUGGAUCGGCAGGAUGAGAUGGUGUUGCUUGAUCUGCAGGGUGAGUUGCCGAUGGAGGAUGGUUGCCGAUGGAGGGGCUGUUGAGCGUGACUAAGUCCGUAGGUGAUGAUGUGUCUGUGCCGAUGGCUACGACAAGGAGGUCUGCCGAUGCUACGAAGGGAGAGUCUGGAAGCUGCCGAUUGGCUGGUGGGGAUGUUCUGGUUUGUCCCGUGAGGACAGUUUUACCUUUUCCUUAGUUAUUUAGAUCGUUUUGUACACGGAUUCUGUUUAAGUUUGGAAUUCGAAUUUUAGUCGUGUCUGGUUGUAGCUCUUUGAGCAGGGUAUAAAUGUAGACCCUAGGGCUUUGUAACGAGGACAUCUAUCAAUUAAUAAAACACAAGUUUUUACUCAUAUUCCAGCAUCUACUUUUUCGACGACUUCGUCCUACUUUUUCCUUUUCGUUACGAGUUCUUAGGAAUUCGUCGACUUAAGCUCGGCGUGUUCUCAAGUUCCGCGUGAAUACCUCUUGGCCGUGACAUCCGGGCGCAUCGCUGUUGUCGGGACCAAAGUGUUCAAGUUACCACCCUUGCCGAUAGUGAGGUCAAAUCGGCUGGCACGCCUUAACGUUUGAAUCGGGUAUUAGCCCUUUGUGUUUGCAGAUCAGCUUUUGCACCAACACACAGUCACUUACUUUAGCAGGGGGUAAACCAUAAAGAUAAUAAUAAUGAAUUAUAAGUUCAAGGGAUAAAUAACACAGCGAUUAGAAAAUAGACUACUCCUCAUAUAUGUAGGUGAUGUCGGAUUAGCUAGAGAAUGGAUUCUAAGUUAUCUACUAACUACUCAGUCAUAAUCAAAUCUAGUUAUCUACAAGAUCAUAUAUAGCAUAAAAGACUCUUCAUUCAUGUAUAAGGUACAUUGAUAAAGUAAAUCAGAGCAUCGCACGACUUACUCCACAAUACCGGUUCUGCCUGUCCUAUCAAUGGAGGGUGGACUAUAUAAGGAUCAACGAAGCUGUCACUAUCGCGAACUACCACACGACCCGGCCAAUAGGAUACAUUUGCAGAUAAAUAACAUCUAAGCACCAUGCUCACAUGUGAUCUAUCACCUAACUCCCUCGCGUCAAGAGCUAAGCGCUUUGCAAACUCAUACAUAAACUCAUUAUCAAUUAGAACUAUAUCAAAUAUAGAACUAGAUCAAACUAAUAACAUAAUAAUUAGAGACAUAAUGCAAUUAGAACAAAGAAUUAGAGAAAGAUAUGAAUAAUACCAAUCUUUAUUACCGAAGAACCGAAUCCAGAGCGUAGUGCUCUACUCCUCUAAUUGCUAUCUAAUCAAACCUCUAAACUUGAAGGAUUAGGGAGUAGCUAAUUCUAAUUCUCUGUGGGAGAGAAGCUCUAAACCCUAACUUUGAUGGCUACCUCUGAAUAAUGAUUUCUUCUCUUCUCCUCUCUCCUCCAGGGGGAGAGGCCUUGGUUUUAUAGUCCCUUCAAGUGAAUUUGAGCCGUCGGAUCAAACCGACAUUGAUUGUGUGGUUUAGAUUGAUCCUUUAGGUCGGUGGAGUUUAGCCCCGAAGCAGAGUCCUGAUUGGACUCCUGGCCUGGGCGGGCGCCCAAGGGGGGUGGGCGGGCGCCCUGCCCCCGAGCCCGAUCCUCUUCUCGUUCGUUCCCGUGGCUUCUGGACUCUUCUAGAUUGAAGAAAAUUGCGCGGCACCUAAUUAUCUCGUUGUAAACAUGACAUGUGGGCCUUCUCUCCAUAUUAUCCGAUAACCCCCUGCAGAAAUAGAUAAACACCAAAGCUCGUGGAAUUCUGUCAGAUAAAACCCUAAUUCUAGAUGUUUGAUUCAAAUUGAUCCUUUUCCAUGUUUAUUUGAUUGUUAAUUUUAGUACUUAAGGACCGUCAACAAACUCCCCCAAGCUUACCCUUUGCUCGUCCCUGAGCAAAUAGCUAAACUCAGACGAUUCAGGAGUUGCUUCAAUGUUUUCUAUCCUGACAGGCACACAUGCAUUUAUAUAAAAAUUCUUCCAGAUUAGAGUGAAGUGUUAUGGAGUUUAGUACCUGCACUUAAGUCUUAAGUAAUUGAAAGACAAAAUAAUUAAGUCAAGCACUAUCCCUCCUGCUAUACUUCACCUUUGUUCUAGAGUUUUUCAUAAGUUUUCAAAAUAAAACUCAGAGUUCCCAGCAAUGAUUCUCUCCAGUCUCUCUAUAUGUGGUAUUUGUGGAUCCUUACCAAAAUGUCACUUACCUAUUGCUAAUGGAAUAUUUAAGUGGAGCUCAUAGGAGUGAAAAACAGCUCAUACAUAUGUUGUCUAAUCGAGCCAUGGAUCCAAAGGAACUCAGCAGAUAAUUAAAUCAUGAUAUGCAUGUGUGAUGGAGUAAAUGAUACUGAUGCAUAAGUGAUAAUAAAACUUAGUUCUCAUUGCUCCUCGUAUUGUUAUCUCUCAUCUUCUUUGAUCUUUGCUUUGGGAGAACAUGGGCCAUCUUUUCUUUCUUUUUCUUCUUUUUUUUCAGGUGGGUAGAAGAUACCCCUAAUUCUACUGUCGGACACUUGUCCAUUUUUCCGCUCAAGUGGGCAUCUUUGUACCCCUAAUUCUACUCCGGACACUUGUCCAUUUUUACCUCUCGUCUCACUCUUUUUCUUUCUUUUUCGAGGUUCCGGGCACUUGCCCCUUUUUAUUUUCUCGCAUAUUUUUGCAUAACCCAUGCCUCUUCUGCAUUGAAUCUUUUUAGAGAGAGAGAAUAAAAAUAUUUGGGACAGUGAGUGAUAAUAUAUAUAUAUUUUUAGCAAUUUUAAUGAUUGGUGAUGAAUGCUGUGGUAGAUGUGUGAAGUGAAUAUCUUAAUUUAACCACAUGAAAAGCUCCUAAGGGUCUACACAGCUCGAUCAAACUCAAUGUAAAUAUAGUAAAAGAUGUUAUAGCAAGUAUGGUUGUGGUAGGUAGUUGUAAUGCUAGGAACUCAUCAUGUGCUUUGUAAGUUUUCAAAAUAAAUCUCCAGAAUCUUAGUGUAGUAGGAACAAGAUAAACAGCAGCUCAACUUUAUAUCAUGCCUUUCUCUUACCUAGAUAUUAGUUUUAUGCUUCCCAAAGAUAGUAAGUUUUAGUAAUUCCUGGAAGAACUCUAAUAUAAAAGCUAGGUACUUGUAACAGAGCAACUGUUCAUCAUUUCCAUCAUGCAUUUUUUUGUCUUUUUGUUUUUCUAGAGAUUAAACUUAGCAGAUAAAUAAAGCACACUUAUCUACACACUCUUUUUAUUUUGUUUUCAUGUUUAUAAAAUGCAGUAAAUUAAAGCAAGAAAAUAUUUAUUAGGUUUUCUAAGUUUUUCCUUUUAAGAUAAAAAACUAAAAUAGAAAAAAAUAAAUAAGAAGAGCAAAUAAAAACUGACUUGAUAAAUUGGGGAGGAACUCCCCCAAGCUGGAUGUUGAUGUCGGCCUUACCCGAGGUUCCAGAACCGUAUCAUGGUUGUGAUGUUGUCGUUCAUUGUUGUUGUAUCUUGUCUCAGCUCUUGUACUGCAGCGGCAUGGUCCUGGUUCUAUUUUUGUUGCUCUUCCAGGAGUUGUCCAUGUUCUGCUUGCAUGUUCUGGAUGUCGAGGAGAGUGUUGUUGGUACGAGUGAAGAAAGCACCGGCCUCUUGAUAGUAGUCAUUCGUGAAAGCGUAGGAGGCAUUGGAGUAUCGUCCUGCAUCAAAUUGGGGCGGAGGUCUGGAUCCUGAAGCUCCAUAUGGAUCAGUGGAGCACCUGCCCAUAUGGAAAGGCGGGUUUGUCCACUGGUGGUCUUGGCUCUCCGGCCAUGUCUCCUUUGUUGGCUAUUGUGGUUGCGCAUGUCGAACCCAUGGGUCUCGAAGGACUCGGGGGUUGUAAUCGCAAUAAUGCAGGUGCGCUGCUUCUUCUGGUCCGGGAUCAGCUCCAUACCAGGUGCGUUCUCGAUGGGUGGUCAUCCUUUCAGAUGCCACUCGCUGUGGAGCUCUCUGGUUCACUGGUGUUGCUGCAAUCUCAAUCAAAAAGUUUUGAACAAUGUAGAGGCCAAGGUUCGGGUUAGGUAACCGAAUCUUGCCUCUAUCAUCGUAUAGCAUAUAUAUUAUAUUCCCCUCUUUCUUUAACAUCCGAGCUUGUCUAAAUGUGUCAUAGCCAUGAUAAAUUCUUAAGUCAUCUAUGAAGUCCAACGAUGAGUUUUCUAGUAAAUGAAGGUUAGAGGCUAGACGAGUGAUAAGUGAAGUGCAUCCUACUGGUCCCUGUAGACUAGGUACACUAAGCCAAUGAGAAACUAAAAGUGUAACAGGUGAAGUAGGUACUUUAUUAAUAGCAGCAUAUAAAAGUUGUAAAUCUCCUACUCUUACUUUCCUAAUAUCAUCACGAUAGAAAAGAUUGUACCCAAGCCAUUUGUGGAACAUCCUAAGAGUGGGGUGUUCCAUGUCACUGGUUCGGGCUUGACUAUAAAAAUUAUCUCUAGAUAUUUCUCUCCGAAACUGGUGUCUCUCAAAAUUAGGCAGGUCGGAGUCAAUGUUCAAGAUGCAUCUUGAAGAGAAACCAAGAUGGUCGCUCAGCUCUCUCCAAGACAACAUAAUUUCCUGUUUGAACAUCCGAAAAACAAUUCCCCCCUCAUAAUAUUGUAAGGUGCAAAGAAAUUUGAGGGUGAGAAGACGAGAACCCAGCUCAGUUAUAUUCCAAAAAUUUGUCCAACCUAUCAUUUGGAAAAUUAAGUCAAAUUCAGUGUCCAUACCUGUUUCUUGUAGUAAGAUUGGAUCGAGAGUAGGGGUGUGAAUAAAAUCUUUGUUCUUUAAUUGCUGAUAUACUUCUUUCUCUCUUCGGGUCUUCAGUCCAAGGUCUCCUAUCUUGAGAAGGACCUUGGCUUGCUGAUUAGAUGAAGAUGACGGAGCUUGUGUGGGCGUUGGGUCGACGCUCAUCUCUGAUGGCUGUGAGGAGUGUCAGGAUGAACUCCUUGUACCAAUGUUCUUGAGAGCCUUCCCUGCAUUCUUCACCUUCUUAAACAUCCUGCAAAUAAAAGUUGGCAAAAACACAACUAGUGGAAAAUGUGAGAGAAAAUGUUAGUGGUCAGCUGUCCAGAAUGUCAGUAGCCCAGGGGUUAGUCGUUCAAGAUAAGUUUCUAUUUUGGCAGAACUUCCCCCUAAACAACUUUUACUUCUGCUUAGACAACUACUUACUAGGUGAUACUUACUCUCUCACUCAAAAGAUCUCCCAACCUUCUCACACUCAGAGCUAUUUUCUGGAAACCGAGAACUACGAGCUUGCAAGGUUUUCUGAAAUGUAUGUGUGAAGAGAAGGGGAGCUAGAGGUGGCCAUUUAUAGGCUGAGCAGGGAACAGGGCGGGCGCCGUGGGUAGGUGGGCGGGCGCCCACCCCUGGUGUGGGUGUGCCUCCUCUACUUACUUCCUUGCUUUGAUCUCACGCAGAAUAAUGUUGUGUUGGUGGUUGUUGGACGGUGGAAAGAUGUCUGGUGAGUGGAAACAUAUUGGUGGAUGAAAUUAUGUGAUGGGAUGUAUGUGAGGUGAAGUGUAUGACAUGUGGGACCCAAGGAGUGUGGGUCAUGCUUCUAGAAGGUUACUAUAAUUAAAUAUAAUGCAGGAAAAUCUAUGAGAGUUGAAACUUAAUUAAAAUGAUUAUGGAAAAUAUUUUUCUGCCUCCACAAUAAUUAAUAAAUAUGGGUUGUUACACACCAUGAAUAUUAUUUAUAUGGGGCUUUUGAUUAUUAUAAUAAUGCUAUGAAUAAAUGUGACUAAUGCAAGAUUUAAUUAUGCAAGAAUUUAAAUAUGAGAAAAUUAAUAAUGCGGAUAAAUACCGAUUUACCUCCCGGUGAGGGUUUGGGAUUUUUAGGUCCCCCAUGCUCGACCUCCAAAUCUUUUAAUCUUCUGAAUUACCUUUCUCCGGAGAUGGUGUCUCCAGUGGUUCUUCAUGAACUUCCUUCACUGUAGAGUCUCUCUCUGGUCUGGGUUUGAAUGUGAAGUGUUCUUCUUGUCCGUUUAUGUUGAACUUGAUUUCUCCUUUCCUGACAUCAAUGUGGGCAUUGGCAGUGCUCAGAAAUGGCCUUCCAAGGAUGAUGGACACUUUUGAGUCAGGACUCAUGUCCAGUACUAUGAAGUCUACUGGCACCAGGAAAUCUCUGAUCUUGACUGGAAUGUUCUCGGCGAUGUAACAGAACCGACCAAAUUAUAAGAGAUUAAGCCUAAUAGUGACCAUUUGCAUAGUCGAACUAUCACGCUUAAGCCCAUAUAAUCCCGGUAGUCCGUGAAAUCUCGAAGGAUUUCAAACCACACAUCACAUAACAGCCAAGAUCGUAAUAAGUUUAGCGGUCGCCAUCCACAAGUACAUCCCGAUUACAAGAUUCAUAAAAUACAUCGGAGUGCUUAAAGUUAUUACAAACCAAGUUCUUCAAGUAGCGGAAGCUUCACAGUUCGAAAAUACAACACACACGAUAAAUCUGAUACAGUGCCAUAGUUCGGUCAUUCCCACAAAAGCAAAAGAAGAGACGGAGUGACCAUCGCCCUUGGUCUAGUCAUCACCCAUAGCUGGGUACAGACAGAGGAUGCAAUAACCAUAAUACAUUUGACCAUCUGCAAAACAACAUGGGAAUAGAACCCUGAGUACAAGAAGGUACUCAGCUAGACUUACCCGUCAUAAACUUAAAAUAAAGACUCAUCAAGGAUCAUGAAGGCUAUAUAGUGGGGGUAGCUGACGACAUCUUUGCAAAAACCGCAGUAUUUCACUAACAUAACUUCCCUAAGUCCUUCUUCUUUUAAUUAGCUCAAGUUGACAGUAUCAUUACCUAUUAUCUAGGUUUGCUCCUGUGCUAUUACAAGCAAGUAUGAGACUAUGAUAGUACCUCAUCACAGCAUUUCUUAAAACAAUUCAUCAUUAUAACCCAAGUGUUCCAUAGUCCUUACUACGAGGACAGGGCUCAUGUCAAGUGCUCACUAUCCAGGAGCGAUGGCGAUUCGAAUCGAUUUCUAACCAGCUGGCGAAUUUAUUCCCCACACAAACCACACUCACUGAUCAAGUGAGCUACAGGUCACCGUGUUGCACUAUCCAGGACCAAUUCGCGGGUUCGACAGGCACCGCCCGUACCCGAGGACCGUUCCGGCGACCGAGGUAUCCAAGGUAUACCAAGGUUGCGCGCCGCGCCCUCGUCGUUCUCCUCAACCAUCACCAAUACAGCGCGUACAUCGGGCCGAUUCCCGGCCCGGAUAGUGCUCAGGCUUCGCGGUCGGAACGACUUAUCCUUCCAGCUAAAUGUGGGGCAUGCGUUCAACAUGACAAGAGGGCCGUCAACGAUCGGUCCUUAAUCGACAUAGGCAGGGGCACUAUGGGCAACCCACCAUAAGACCCUGCCCAGUCUCCAAUUACAUUCCACACUCGGUUAUUUCCUUCCCCAAGCAACCAUUGCUUAAUUAAGCAGGUAUCCACCUAUAUCUCGCAGGUGACAGGGAAUCACCCGACUUCUACCGGACUAAGCAAGCUAAGCAUAGACUCCGCGCCUAUCUACAUAGGACAAGGUAGAUAAACGAGUAGGGAUAACAAGGAAUACAUAUGCAACAACGGUAUCAAGGAACUCCUAUUACUUAUAUGCAAUAUAGUAGAACAAGUGUAAUAUACUUAGUAGGUUAGCGAGAAUAGGGAGACUUAGAAUGCUCCGGGGCUUGCCUCUCUCAAAGGUGCUGGGUCGGUGAUCUGGACACUCCUGCAGUUCCUCCCCGGGUCCCUGUGCUUCCGGAGGUUCCUGCUCCUGAAUCUCCUCUGGCUCCUCGGGUCCCACCUCGUUCUCCUGCGAGCCUGUAUGAUGCAUAUAUGCUCAUGAGUGGAGUGCGAGAUGCCCGAGUGGAUGCUUAUAUGAGAGAGUACCAAAGGAGUCCUGUUAUGAUGUAUAGGUAAUGCAUUUGGUCAUGCUUAUUAUAAGGUAGUCAACAUCAUCCAAGAAUAAACAAUUGAAUCAAACACCCAUUACAUUCUCUUCUAUAAUUAUAUAAUAUAUAUAUAUAUAUUUUUUUUAAAAUGCAACCAGCCACCUCCAUGAUCCUUCAAAGAUACACCAAACCCAACUUAGUCCAUUCAACCUAGAUAUACAACCAUUUAUAGUUUUCUUUAUUCAUUUCUAAGCCCAUUAAAAAUCACAUGCAACUCUGUUCAUCAAUAAAUUCCAGAAAAAUUACAGGAGACUACUAGUUAAUCACAAAGUUCACUGUAAAUUUUUCAUAAUUUUUGGUUACUUAUUUUGAGCCACAAAAAUCACAAGAUUAGUUACUAAGGCAAGUAAAAUCACCCUACUGUGACAUAAGUGUCAAACAGCAGAUUUCAUAUUUUUACCAUUUGUCUAAUGUCAUAAGAAACAUCCACAAAAUUUUCCAGAUUUAUUGCAUGACCCAAAUAAUUAUUAAAAAUCAUAAACCACUGCCAUGCAAGCAUUUAAAUUACCAUAAUUUCAUUUAUACACCAAAUAAUAUGUAACAAUAUUUUCUCAGUGAGUAAACACACAUGCAGAGCCAGCAAAACAAGUUUCACAUUUUUCUGAGCCAUAUUCCAUUUACUAUGCAUUUUCCAAGUUUAACAAAAACAUGGAUAAAUUAUACUUACACAGAAAAGUUACUCAAACAUGACAUGCAAUCAUACUAGGACAUAGAUCUGGAAAUAAGGAACACACCAAAAUUUGUUUCACCAUUUUUGGAGCUAUAUUCAUCAAGAUAUGGAUUUUACAAACUUUAAAUCAUUUUCUGGAAAAACUUUUAAAAGAAAACCGUCGAAAAACGCUACGCUCACCCAGAUCUACACCCACUGCGGUACCCCUGCGACUGACAGUGGGUCCCCGACCCCACCAGUCAGUGAGACCGAGAGGGAGCUCACCUCCGACGAGCGGAUCUCGCCGGCGGUGAGGUCUCCGGCCACGGGGUGAGCACCAACGUGCUCCCCGCAGCGAGGCGCACCCAGCGGUACCCUUGGAUCGACCAGAGGACGGCCGGAACACCUCCGGCGAGCAUGCAUGGCGGCACGGCGGCGCUGCUCGCCGUGGCCAGGCUGCUCCGGCGCGGUAGAGCGUGCGCAAACGCCUCUCCGAGCUUCCUCACCUUCCUACCGACCUAGCGCGACAAAGAACGAGCGAAACGAUGCAGGGAAACGCUAGAUCCACCGCGGCGGAGUACUCCGGCGAGCUCGGGGUAACUCCGGCGAGCGAUUCAUGGCGCUCGACGGACUCUCACCUCGGUAGAGCGUUCGCAUGAGCUUACCCUAGCGACGGCGAGUGCCCUGGUGCUCUCGGCGUCGAGCUUGAUGCUCUGGUGUGGCCGGCGACGAGCGGCGGAGCUCUCUCCGGCAAUGGCGCGCGGAGGAGCGGCUGCUGCGGUGCGGUUUGAGCGGAGGAAGGAGAGGGAGGGAGCGGGGGAGACAGGAUGGGCGAGUGGUCUGGGAGCCAGCGCCGGCGUCCCGACCAGGGGGGUUGGAGGCCGGCCGCGGCGCGUCCAACGCCGGCGUACGGCCGCCACGUGGCCGGCGCCGGGUGGAGCGAGGCGCGUCCGCGCGCGGGAGGGAGAGGGAGAGGGGAGGCAGGCCGGGUCGCUUGCUGGGCCGAAAGGGAAGCGGGGUUGGCCCAGCAGCGCCUGCCCCUUUCUUUUUUUUUUUUUUGAAAUUUCUUUUCUCCAAAUUCUUUCUAAAUUCAUUUGGACCAAGUAAAAAUCGUUUUCACCUCUUGCUCCCAAAAACAAAGUUGUUCCAAAACAAAAACUCUACCACUUUGCUUUAACAAGUAAGACCAAAUUCCAAACAGAAUUUGAAUUACAAGUUAAAACUCAGUUCUAGGUUUUAAUAAAAAUUCUUUUUGGAUAUUUUGUAUAAAUUCCAUUUCUCAAAUUCCAUAGCUCCAAAAAUUGCACAAAAAUAUUCUAAAUUCUUCUUACACAUAAAGCAACCUAAUUUGAAUAUUCCACAAUUUUAGAAGCAAGCAUCAUAUUUUUAACAUAUUUAAAACUUAUGAAAUGAAGCACAUAAAAUCAUAUUCUUAGAAAAAUGAUAUGCUUAUGAUGCUUAUGAUUGAUGAGAAUGCUUAUGCAUGUCUUUGGUAAGGCCAAAUGCAUGCUUAACACCUAGGGUGUUACAGCCCUUCCCCCCUUAGGGAAAUCUCGUCCCGAGAUUUUGGGUUACUAACCAUUUCUUAUGAAAUUUUGGAUAAACUGUUUUCAAGUAAUCCUCUGUCUCCCAAGUGGCAUCCCUAUCGUCAUGAUGACUCCACACCACUUUAUAAGUUCUGACAACUUUGUUUCGGGUUACUCGCUCCUUGGUAUCCACAAUCCUCACCGGCUGCUCCUUAUACUCCAGGUCUGCCUUUAUCUUGAUUCCUCGAGGUUCAACUCUUUGCUCAGGCACUUUCAAACAUUUCCGUAGUUGCGACACAUGGAAGACCGGAAAGAUUGAGCUCAUCUCUUCAGGUAACUGGAUCUUAUAGGCCACUGGGCCUUUCCUCUCUAGCACUUGGUAUGGUCCCACAUAUCUGGGUGCAAGCUUGCUUCGAACUCGGAAACGUUGAACUUUCUUCAUUGGCGUAACCUUGAGGUACACAUAGUCACCUAUGUUGAAUUCAAGUGGCCUUCUCCUCUUAUCAGCAUAACUCUUUUGUCGUGAUUGCGCUGCUUGCAUAUGUUGUUGUAUGAUCUGCACCUUUUUCUCGGCAUCAUUUACAAAGUCGAUACCAUAGUAUCUUCUUUCACCAGGUUCAACCCAGUUCAACGGAGUCCGACAUCUUCGACCAUACAAAGCUUCAAACGGGGCCAUCUUGAUGCUCUCUUGAUAACUAUUAUUGUAGGAGAAUUCAGCCAAAGGUAACCACGAUUCCCAUGAUCCCUUGGAUGAUAGCACACAGGCCCUCAGCAUAUCUUCUAACACUUGAUUUAACCUCUCGGUUUGACCUGAAGUCUGGGGAUGAUACGCCGUGCUUCUUAUCAGACUGGUCCCCAGGCUCUUAUGCAUGCGCUCCCAAAAGUGAGCAGUGAACUGCGGUCCUCUAUCCGAUAUGAUAGUUUUGGGAAUACCAUGCAAUUUGACGAUCUCAGCCAUAUAUAUAUCAGCAUACUCGGGAGGUCUGUAACGAGUCUUCACAGGAAUGAAAUGGGCCGAUUUGGUCAAUCGAUCUAUAAUUACCCAAAUCGAGUCAUUCCCCUUCCUUGUGGUUGGUAAACCCGUGAUAAAGUCCAUACUGACCUCUUCCCAUUUCCACUCCGGAACUGAUAACGGUUGCAACAGACCUGCAGGUUUCAUAUGGAUGGCCUUAACCCUGCAACACGUGUCACAACGGGCCACAUAAGCUGCUAUUUCUUUCUUCAUCUUGGUCCACCAAAAGUGGGGCCUUAGAUCUUGAUACAUUUUGCUGCUGCCCGGAUGAAUAGAAAGCUUAGAAAGAUGGGCUUCAUCCAUGAUGCGAUUCUUCAACUCCCGAUCUUUCGGGACCACUAACCGCUGUUGAAACCACAGUACUCCCUUCUCAUCAACCCGAAACUGAGUUUUUGGGUCAUCUUUAAUCUUCUCUUUGAUGUGGAAAAUACCCUUGUCUGUUUUCUGACCUUCAAUGACUUGACUCUCGAGUGAACAACUGAGUUGUAUAUGGCAUAAGACCUCAGGAUGCAUAAGAUUGAACCCAUCUUCAAACAACGGUUGAACCAUUUGAUAGUGCGGUUUGCGACUCAAAGCAUCUGCAACCACAUUGGCUUUACCUGGAUGAUAGUGAACUUCCAGGUCAUAAUCCUUGAUUAGCUCUAACCACCGUCGCUGCCUCAUAUUCAGCUCGGACUGCGUGAAGAUGUACUUCAAACUCUUGUGAUCGGUGUAAAUGUGACACUUAUUCCCUAGCAGAUAAUGCCUCCAAAUCUUCAAAGCAUGCACCACAGCUGCUAACUCAAGGUCGUGCGUUGGAUAGUUGACUUCAUGCUUUCUUAGCUGUCGGGAAGCAUAAGCUAUCACCCUGCCAUCUUGCAUCAACACACACCCCAGGCCACUCUUCGAUGCGUCACAAAACACAUCAAAAGGCUUCUCUAUAUUAGGUUGUGCCAGAACGGGAGCAGUGGUUAGCAACCUUCGCAAGGUGCGGAAGGCUAACUCACACCCUUCCGUCCAGACGAACUUAUGAUCCUUUUGUAGCAAACUUGUCAUUGGCUUAGCAAUCUUGGAGAAGUCAGGUAUGAAACGACGAUAAUACCCGGCCAGACCAAGAAAACUUCUAACUUCCGAGACAGAAGUUGGUGCCUUCCAAUCCAUGACUUCCUGCACUUUUGAUGGAUCCACGGCAAUUCCUUCUUCAGACAAAAUGUGCCCUAGGAACGGAACUUUCUUCAACCAGAACUCACACUUGCUGAACUUGGCAUAUAACUGAUGCUCUCGUAAUCGGGUCAGCACGAUUCUCAGAUGUUCGGCGUGAUCUUGCUCAUUCUCUGAAUACACCAGGAUAUCAUCGAUAAACACCACAACAAACUUAUCCAAUUCUGGCAUAAAGACUGAAUUCAUCAGAUACAUAAAGUAUGCAGGAGCAUUUGUCAACCCAAAGGACAUGACAAGAUACUCAUACAACCCAUAUCUGGUGGAAAAAGCAGUCUUCGGGAUAUCUUGCGGACGAAUCUUGAUUUGAUGAUACCCGGAUCUCAAAUCUAUCUUAGAAAACACUCUUGCCUUGGAUAACUGGUCAAACAGGAUAUCAAUCCUUGGCAAGGGAUACUUAUUUUUGAUUGUCACUGCAUUGAGUGGACGAUAGUCCACGCACAUGCGCAACGACUGAUCCUUCUUUUUUACAAACAACGCUGGACAACCCCACUCCGACGAACUUGGCCGGAUGAACCCUUUAUCCAGCAACUCUUUCAGUUGUUUCUUCAACUCAGCGAGUUCAUUUGGUGGCAUCCGGUACGGCCUUCUAGAUAUUGGUGCUGUACCUGGUAUCAACUCGAUCGCAAACUCUACCUCCCUAUCUGGGGGAAGUCCGGGUAACUCCUCGGGAAACACAUCAGGGAACUCACAUACCACGGGUAUGUGUUCUAGGGGAACUACCUGUACUGCACACGAAAGACUGGCGAAGUCCAACCGCCGGGGUAACUUGAUCUGAAACACACCCUUCCCUUGCGGCUCUCUGAGGGAAAGAGUCCUGUUUCCAACAUCUAUAACCGUGCCCCAGUCAGUCAUCUUGUUCAUACCAAUGAUGACGUCCAAAACCAGUCCUGGCAUGACCACAAGGUUUACACGAAACCUCCGGCCACUGAUAUCCAAAGUAACCCCUGUUACCGUCUUAUUAGUCAACACAUCGGCUCCAGCUGAGCUGAUGCGAUAGCCAUAACCUAACUCAGUAACUGGCUGAUCAUGCUUUUGUGCAAAUGCUUGACUCAUGAAAGAAUGCGACGAUCCAGAAUCAAACAAAACAACUGCAAGGUGUUGGUUGACAGAAAACAUACCAGCUGUUACCGGUUCUCCUUCCGGAAUUUCCUCAAUCGAGGUAUGAUGCACGCGAGCUGGAUAGGUUGGCUGCUGUCUCUUGGGGUAGGGACAUUCCUUAGCAAAGUGCCCCGUCUUGUGGCAGUUAUAGCACGGACCCUUGGGCGCAUUAUUGACGGCAGGUGCUGCAGCUUGAAUGGCCUUUGGCUUGGCAGGAGCUAUCGCCACCUUGUACGGCUUCUGCUGUGUUGGAUGCCCGGUGUUCCUUCUCUGCGGUGGUCGGAACCUAGCACCCGGGGCAGGAGGACGAUACUGCGGUCGCCCUGCCACUGGUGCCCUGAACUGGGACGAUCCUGCUUCAAAAGCCCUUUUGCGUGACUUGGACGCACUGUAGUUGUUGUUAUUGUUCUCUUGGGUCAGACAGUCACUGAUAUAGGCAUUAAAAGUAGCCCUGGCCCCUGUACCCAUGGUCUUCAGCAUCUUUGGAUUUAAGCCUCUCUGGAAACUAGCAAUCUUCUUGGCCUCUGUGUUUACAAACUCAGGGGCAUAUCGAGCGAGACUAUUGAAGGCAUGUAGAUACUCUUUCACAGAUUUCGUCCCCUGGGACAGCCUCAUGAACUCCCCAACCUUCAUUUCAACCACCCCAGGAGGAAUGUAAUUUCCCCGGAAAGCGGUGGUGAAGCGGUUCCAGGUGAUUGGUGUCCCUUCUGGGUAGGUGGUACGGUGAUGGGACCACCAAAUCCCAGCAGGUCCUUGCAACUGAUGUGCCGCAUAUUCGGCCUUGAGUUCUUCUGUCAUUCGGAGAAGACGAAACUUCUGCUCCAUGGUGUUGAUCCACUCAUCCGCUUCGAGCGGUUCCAAGGCCUCCUUAAAGAUUGGUGGCUUGGUAUCCAUGAAGUCCUUGAACGAACUGUACUGGUUGACCUCUCGGCCGCCCGGGUUAUCUCCACGACGGGUGUUAUCAGCUAUGUUGCGCAAAGCUUCUUCCAUGUUGCGCUGCAUCUGCUCCAUGUUGCGUUGGCUUCCCAGAAACUGCGCGAAAAACACAUCCGCAGUGUACGGGGGAGGUGGUGGUGGUGUUGGCGCUCUGUCCUCAUCCCGUUGGGCCCCAUUUCCGGAUGUACCUGCUCCAAGACCCGGAUUGCUAUUACCCCCGCCACGUGUUUGCACCAUCUGCAUAUGCCAAUGAUAAGCAAUCGUUAGGAGUUGCCAUCAACGGUAGAAAAUGUGUAAAAUCGUGCCAUACUGAAUUUACUGAGGGAAUAAAUUCACACAAUAAACAAAGGCACAACAACUCAUUAUCCACGCACAACAUCACUAACAGAUUACUUAACAUUCACGCAACAAGGUUCGCGGACAUCCAACUUGCCAGCAUACAUACACUGGACUUUCAACAUCAACUCACAAAGUCUUACACAGCCCAGAUCCAAAAGUACACGACAUGCCAUGCAACAUACAACAACAAAGGAGGGAAGACUAGCUCUAGAGCCCUAGCAUCUACUCGCUGUGGUCACUGUCCAUGCCAGAGCCAUCCUCAUCCUCGUCACCACCAGCAGCUGCUCCUAUCUCGGGAUCCGCGUCCAUCUCGUCCUCAGAGUCUAGCUCCGCUGCUCCAGGAAGGUGGUGAGGGUGGAGCUGGUUAUGCAGCUGGUGGAUCUCCUCAUGCAAGUUCUCAUUGUACUCCUCGGCAUUAGCUAGCUGCUGCUCUAGCUCUAGCUGUCGGGCCCUCAAAGUGUCCUCCUCGUGCCAGGCUUCAUUUCUCUGUCCAAGCACAUGGACUAGCAUGCGCUCGCAGUUCCUGUGAGCAGUAGUCACCCUGUCCUUCUGCUCCCGUACUGCGAGCAGGUCCUGACUCAGCUCACUGUUCUGCUGGACGGCCUGGUCUCUCUCUCUGGUCACACGAGCCAACUCUGCCUGUAGCCUCUCAACCUCAGAGUCAAACUCACGCUGCAACUGACGCUUCUCAUCCUGGACGGUGAGAAGAGACCCGGACAAACGACCCAAACAACGCUCUAGGCCUCCAUAGGUCUUCAUCAACGCGUACAUGGCACUCAUAGCUGCACUGUCACUGUGCUGGUCCUCAUCCGCACUCCUCUCUAGAGCAUUCACCUCGGACUGAUCCCACACCGAAGCGUAAGGGUCACCCCGGGGAAACACCCCAGCGAAGGCGUGGGCCAGCUCCUGUGGAAACCUCUCCAUGAGGUCCCUCAGAACUGCGAAAGCUGCCCUGCUGGCACCGUGGAAAGGCGUGACACCUCGGGACUCGUACACCCAGCCGCCCCAAGCAGGGUCUCCUCCACUAGUAGGGACAACUGCCUCAACCCCCACCAGGGUCUCGUCACCAAGCGGCUCCUUAUCCCAAUAGUAGCGAGGCUCCCUUCCUUCGGGAUACCCCAUCGAACUGAGCACCCUCCAAAGCAAAGUGGGCAUCCCAAACUCCUCUAGGAACUUGCUCUUAUGUCGCGAGCUCCUAGCUGCCAACGGACGGCGAGGGGCCCGCCCACCAGUGGACUUGCGAGCUGUGAGCCUAGUGCGUGCCAUCUGCUGCAAAUGGAAUACCGCGGGUAAGAGCGAGGAUUACCUUUAAUUGUUUUAUUUAGAGUUGAGACAGGUUAACUUAAGGGGGAAAGUAAGCAAUGAUAUGAAAUAAACAUGAUGCAUGCACGAACUUACGAUCUCACAAACUUAGAAAACAAAGGUUAACACUAAGCGGUAUAUGCGGUGGCACACAACGUUCUCUCAUAACGUAACUAGCGUUCUAAGCGAGAACGUGGUUAGAGUACCUGCAGAAAACUCAUUUCAGCCCACCCACAAUAUGGUCAUGCAGAGCAAGAAUGUAAAACCAUGCACUGCACAUACACAGACACCCGUCCAUGCAUGUGACGUGCCACUACCCACAUCAUCGCCCUAUUGACGGCAUCGCCUCUCAGGACGGAAUUCCCAGCAUGCGGUACUGUUCCCAAGACACACCAACAUGUGUGCAUGACACAGCACCUGACAACACUUCCCUAGACCGGCAGUGUAUCCGAUCAUGCUCUCACAACUCCCACUUACCAUGGCGUAGAGGAAGAAUUGACCCAUACAUUACCACUCAAAUGAAUGGCACUCAUACUAUUGCACGCCGUAUGAGCGACGAAAUAAAAAUAUGAUGCAUUAACCCCCGAGUCAGUACUUAGCUAGCCACCUUAGAGUCCUUAACUGGGCAUAAAGGAUAUGACCAUGGCACACUAGAUAGUUUUCCAAAACUUAGUUUAACACCUUGAUCGUUAUUAAUUACUAAAAUCUUUCAUUAAACCGUUCUAGGCUUUUGUUUAGAAGGUACUUAUGAACAGUAACUCGCUAAACUUUGCUCCGAUACCAGCUGUAACAGAACCGACCAAAUUAUAAGAGAUUAAGCCUAAUAGUGACCAUUUGCAUAGUCGAACUAUCACGCUUAAGCCCAUAUAAUCCCGGUAGUCCGUGAAAUCUCGAAGGAUUUCAAACCACACAUCACAUAACAGCCAAGAUCGUAAUAAGUUUAGCGGUCGCCAUCCACAAGUACAUCCCGAUUACAAGAUUCAUAAAAUACAUCGGAGUGCUUAAAGUUAUUACAAACCAAGUUCUUCAAAUAGCGGAAGCUUCACAGUUCGAAAAUACAACACACACAGUACUUCUGAUAUAGUGCCAUCGUUCGGUCAUUCCCACAAAAGCAAAAGAAGAGACGGAGUGACCAUCGCCCUUGGUCUAGUCAUCACCCAUAGCUGGGUACAGGCAGAGGAUGCAAUAACCAUAAUACAUUUGACCAUCUGCAAAACAACAUGGGAAUAGAACCCUGAGUACAAGAAGGUACUCAGCUAGACUUACCCGUCAUAAACUUAAAAUAAAGACUCAUCAAGGAUCAUGAAGGCUAUAUAGUGGGGGUAGCUGACGACAUCUUUGCAAAAACCGCAGUAUUUCACUAACAUAACUUCCCUAAGUCCUUCUUCUUUUAAUUAGCUCAAGUUGACAGUAUCAUUACCUAUUAUCUAGGUUUGCUCCUGUGCUAUUACAAGCAAGUAUGAGACUAUGAUAGUGCCUCAUCAUAGCAUUUCUUAAAACAAUUCAUCAUUAUAACCCAAGUGUUCCAUAGUCCUUACUACGAGGACAGGGCUCAUGUCAAGUGCUCACUAUCCAGGAGCGAUGGCGAUUCGAAUCGAUUUCUAACCAGCUGGCGAAUUUAUUCCCCACACAAACCACACUCACUGAUCAAGUGAGCUACAGGUCACCGUGUUGCACUAUCCAGGACCAAUUCGCGGGUUCGACAGGCACCGCCCGUACCCGAGGACCGUUCCGGCGACCGAGGUAUCCAAGGUAUACCAAGGUUGCGCGCCGCGCCCUCGUCGUUCUCCUCAACCAUCACCAAUACAGCGCGUACAUCGGGCCGAUUCCCGGCCCGGAUAGUGCUCAGGCUUCGCGGUCGGAACGACUUAUCCUUCCAGCUAAAUGUGGGGCAUGCGUUCAACAUGACAAGAGGGCCGUCAACGAUCGGUCCUUAAUCGACAUAGGCAGGGGCACUAUGGGCAACCCACCAUAAGACCCUGCCCAGUCUCCAAUUACAUUCCACACUCGGUUAUUUCCUUCCCCAAGCAACCAUUGCUUAAUUAAGCAGGUAUCCACCUAUAUCUCGCAGGUGACAGGGAAUCACCCGACUUCUACCGGACUAAGCAAGCUAAGCAUAGACUCCGCGCCUAUCUACAUAGGACAAGGUAGAUAAACGAGUAGGGAUAACAAGGAAUACAUAUGCAACAACGGUAUCAAGCAACUCCUAUUACUUAUAUGCAAUAUAGUAGAACAAGUGUAAUAUACUUAGUAGGUUAGCGAGAAUAGGGAGACUUAGAAUGCUCCGGGGCUUGCCUCUCUCAAAGGUGCUGGGUCGGUGAUCUGGACACUCCUGCAGUUCCUCCCCGGGUCCCUGUGCUUCCGGAGGUUCCUGCUCCUGAAUCUCCUCUGGCUCCUCGGGUCCCUCCUCGUUCUCCUGCGAGCCUGUAUGAUGCAUAUAUGCUCAUGAGUGGAGUGCGAGAUGCCCGAGUGGAUGCUUAUAUGAAAGAGUACCAAAGGAGUCCUGUUAUGAUGCAUAGGUAAUGCAUUUGGUCAUGCUUAUUAUAAGGUAGUCAACAUCAUCCAAGAAUAAACAAUUGAAUCAAACACCCAUUACAUUCUCUUCUAUAAUUAUAUAAUAUAUAUAUAUAUAUUUUUUUUAAAAUGCAACCAGCAACCUCCAUGAUGCUUCAAAGAUACACCAAACCCAACUUAGUCCAUUCAACCUAGAUAUACAACCAUUUAUAGUUUUCUUUAUUCAUUUCUAAGCCCAUUAAAAGUCACAUGCAACUCUGUUCAUCAAUAAAUUCCAGAAAAAUUACAGGAGACUACUAGUUAAUCACAAAGUUCACUGUAAAUUUUUCAUAAUUUUUGGUUACUUAUUUUGAGCCACAAAAAUCACAAGAUUAAUUACUAAGGCAAGUAAAAUCACCCUACUGUGACAUAAGUGUCAAACAGCAGAUUUCAUAUUUUUACCAUUUGUCUAAUGUCAUAAGAAACAUCCACAAAAUUUUCCAGAUUUAUUGCAUGACCCAAAUAAUUAUUAAAAAUCAUAAAUCACUGCCAUGCAAGCAUUUAAAUUACCAUAAAUUCAAUUAUACACCAAAUAAUAUGUACCAAUAUUUUCUCAGUGAGUAAACACACAUGCAGAGCCAGCAAAACAAGUUUCACAUUUUUCUGAGCCAUAUUCCAUUUACUAUGCAUUUUCCAAGUUUAACAAAAACAUGGAUAAAUUAUACUUACACAGAAAAGUUACUCAAACAUGACAUGCAAUCAUACUAGGACAUAGAUCUGGAAAUAAGGAACACACCAAAAUUUGUUUCACCAUUUUUGGAGCUAUAUUCAUCAAGAUAUGGAUUUUUGAACAUUUAAAUCAUUUUCUGGAAAAACUUUUAAAAGAAAACCGACGAAAAACGCUACGCUCACCCAGAUCUACACCCACUGCGGUACCCCUGCGACUGACAGUGGGUCCCCGACCCCACCAGUCAGUGAGACCGAGAGGGAGCUCACCUCCGACGAGCGGAUCUCGCCGGCGGUGAGGUCUCCGGCCACGGGGUGAGCACCAACGUGCUCCCCGCAGCGAGGCGCACCCAGCGGUACCCUUGGAUCGACCAGAGGACGGCCGGAACACCUCCGGCGAGCAUGCAUGGCGGCACGGCGGCGCUGCUCGCCGUGGCCAGGCUGCUCCGGCGCGGUAGAGCGUGCGCAAACGCCUCUCCGAGCUUCCUCACCUUCCUACCGACCUAGCGCAACAAAGAGCGAGCGAAAAGACGUAGGGAAACGCUAGAUCCACCGCGGCGGAGUACUCCGGCGAGCUCGGGGUAACUCCGGCGAGCGAUUCAUGGCGCUCGACGGACUCUCACCUCGGUAGAGCGUUCGCAUGAGCUUACCCUAGCGACGGCGAGUGCCCUGGUGCUCUCGGCGUCGAGCUUGAGGCUCUGGUGUGGCCGGCGACGAGCGGCGGAGCUCUCUCCGGCAAUGGCGCGCGGAGGAGCGGCUGCUGCGGUGCGGUUUGAGCGGAGGAAGGAGAGGGAGGGAGCGGGGGAGACAGGACGGACGAAAUGGCCUGGGAGCCAGCGCCGGCGUCCCGACCAGGGGGGUUGGAGGCCGGCCGCGGCGCGUCCAACGCCGGCGUACGGCCGCCACGUGGCCGGCGCCGGGUGGAGCGAGGCGCGUCCGCGCGCGGGAGGGAGAGGGAGAGGGGAGGCAGGCCGGGUCGCUUGCUGGGCCGAAAGGGAAGCGGGGUUGGCCCAGCAGCGCCUGCCCCUUUCUUUUUUUUUUUGAAAUUUCUUUUCUCCAAAUUCUUUCUAAAUUCAUUUGGACCAAGUAAAAAUCGUUUUCACCUCUUGCUCCCAAAAACAAAGUUGUUCCAAAACAAAAACUCUACCACUUUGCUUUAACAAGUAAGACCAAAUUCCAAACAGAAUUUGAAUUACAAGUUAAGACUCAGUUCUAGGUUUUAAUAAAAAUUCUUUUUGGAUAUUUUGUAUAAAUUCCAUUUCUCAAAUUCCAUAGCUCCAAAAAUUGCACAAAAAUAUUCUAAAUUCUUCUUACACAUAAAGCAACCUAAUUUGAAUAUUCCACAAUUUUAGAAGCAAGCAUCAUAUUUUUAACAUAUUUAAAACUUAUGAAAUGAAGCACAUAAAAUCAUAUUCUUAGAAAAAUGAUAUGCUUAUGAUGCUUAUGAUUGAUGAGAAUGCUUAUGCAUGUCUUUGGUAAGGCCAAAUGCAUGCUUAACACCUAGGGUGUUACAGGCGAUACCCAACGGUUGUCGAACCGAUUGAUCCGCUAGUUGUAGGCACAUUGAUGUUGGUUCUAGGGUUACAUGCUCAAGCUUUUUGUAGACUGAUGCUGGCAUCACACUGACACUUGCUCCGAGAUCACAGAGUGCAUUGUUGAAGUGUUGGUUUCCGAUCGAGCAAUCAAUAGUGGGGCAUCCUGGAUCUUCCUUCUUCUUUGGUAGUUUGCUGAGGAUGGCCGCACUACAUUCUUCUGUCAGCUUGAUAACCUCAGUGGUGGGCAGUGGUCUGUUCUUGUUAAGAAUAUCUCUGAUGUACUUCGCAUAUGUAGGUACCUGUAUGGCAUCCAGCAGAGGUAUGUUGACAUAUAAUUUCUAAAUGACCUCUACAAACUUACCAAACUGCUCAUCCGACUGCAAUCCUCUGUUUCUUCUGGGAAAUGGCAAAUAGUUGGUGUCAUAAAAAUCUUUCCUCAUUUCUCCAAUUCUUGGUGGUUGUAGCAGAUCUUCUGCUUCAACAAGGCUUUCUUCUUCUAUCACUGCUGGUUGCACUGGUGCUGAUGUUCUUUGUUUCUCUUUUGGGUAUGUGGGAUCUCUGGUGGCUUUGCCUCCUCUAGUAGUUAUGUUCUUUACCUGCUCAAUGUUAGUAGCAACAGGCAGUGCAACAGCUAUCUUUAUUAAUUUAAGCUCUAUCCUUUUAUUAAGAGUGUUUUGCUCAUCAAAGACAGUUAGUAGAAAAUCCAUUUUAUUGUGAAUAUCUUUUAGAGAUGAUUCAUUUGUAUCUAGCCUUUGUUUAACUUCAUCAUUAAUUUUGGUUUGUUGAGCAAUUAUCUCUUUUAAUGAAAGUUGCUUGAAAGUAUUACCUGAAUUCAUACCUUUGCUAUUGGGUUGACUCGAAGUUGGUUGAUAUUUGUAUGCUGUCUCAAUGGCCCUUUGAUCUUCUUUGAACUUGGCCCUCUAGUCAAUCCAAUGGAGCAAAUUUUCCAUCUUAGUUGAUAAUGCAUUUACUUCUUCUGGUAUUUCUUCAGUUUGAUGCCAUUGUUGAGCUUUAUCUUGGAACCAGCUUUGAUUUUCUGCUAUCUUAUCCAAAAGUAUCUCUGCUUUUCCAGUUGUAAGCUCCAAGAAUGAUCCCUUAGCAGAUGCAUCUAGACACUCACGAGCCUUCUGGGUUAAUCCAUGGUAGAAGGUCUGCUUAAGUAACCAUGUGGCCAUUCCAUGGUGUGGACAAUCUGAAAUGUAUCCUUGAAAACGAUCCCAUGCUUCUGAAAUGGCUUCUGUCUUCUGCUGUUGGAAACUGACAAUAUUUCCUCUUAAGGCAGUUGUUUUGCCUAUAGGGAAAAACUUUGAUAGAAAGGCAUCUGACAAGUUCGUCCAGUUGUUGAUGUUAUCUUGAUGAGUGUAGAACCACUUCCUCGCUUUCCCUUCUAGUGAGAAUGGAAAAAGGCGAAGUAGUAUGACGUCUUUGUCAACUCCGUUGAUGUGGAUUGUGCUUCCAAUCUCUAAGAAAUUCUUCAAGUAUGCACUAGCAUCUUCAUGUGCCUUUCCACUGAAUUGUGUAGCUUGUACCAAAUUGAUGAGGCUUUACUUGAGCUCAAACUCGGGUACUCCUUCUUCUACUGCAAAUAUUGGACUAGUUGGAAUGUUCUCAAGACUUGGAGCAGAGAAUUCUUGCAAGGUCUUUUGUGCCAUAGCUUCAACAAUUGGUAGCUAGCUUCCUCUUUUGCAAUUAUUUCUCUAUAGUCUAGUCUAAAAUUUUAUAUGAAUAACCUUGACUGAUUUACUGGCUUUCCUUACCGUUCCUAUGUGUUACCCUUUUGUUCCUGGGCAACGGCGCCAGAAAUGCUUGUUGACACUAGCUAACACCACUUAGAUACUAGGUUGUCGUCUCCAGUAUGGUGCUAGAGUGUACAAAGGUAUUUAUAAAUGUAAAGGCUCUCUAGAAAAUAAUCUAUUCUAUCCGCAAGCACACAGAUAAAACACCUCAUUGUAGCAUUUCACCAGGAUAAGUAUUCUAGGUAUCGUUAUUUAUAGUUCUGCUUAAAAGAACAAAAGGGAUGAAAUUAAAUUAAGGACAAAAUCUAUCAAGGCAUAGACUAGAGAUAAACUUGCAAGAACAUGAUUACUAAUGAGAAACUCGUCACACAGUCACUUACUUUAGCAGGGGGUAAACCAUAAAGAUAAUGAUAAUGAAUUAUAAGUUCAAGGGAUAAAUAACACAGCGAUUAGAAAAUAGACUACUCCUCAUAUAUGUAGGUGAUGUCGGAUUAGCUAGAGAAUGGAUUCUAAGUUUUCUACUAACUACUAAGUCAUAAUCUACUCGAGUUAUCUACAAGAUCAUAUAUAGCAUAAAAGACUCUUCAUUCAUGUAUAAGGAACAUUGAUAAAGUAAAUCAGAGCAUCGCAUGACUUACUCCACAAUACCGGUUCUGCUUGUCCUAUCAACGGAGGGUGGACUAUAUAAGAAUCAACGAAGCUGUCACUAUCGCGAACUACCACACGACCCGGCCAAUAGGAUACAUUUGCAGAUAAAUAACAUCUAAGCACCAUGCUCACAUGUGAUGUAUCACCUAACUCCCUCGCGUCAAGAGCUAAGCGCUUUGCAAACUCAUACAUAAACUCAUUAUCAAUUAGAACUAUAUCAAAUAUAGAACUAGAACAAACUAAGAACAUAAUAAUUAGAGACAUAAUGCAAUUAGAACAAAGAAUUAGAGAAAGAUAUGAAUAAUACCAAUCUUUAUUACCGAAGAUCUGAAUCCAGAGCGUAGUGCUCUACUUCUCUAAUUGCUAUCUAAUCAAACCUCUAAACUUGAAGGAUUAGGGAGUAGCUAAUUCUAAUUCUCUGUGGGAGAGAAGCUCUAAACCCUAACUUUGAUGGCUACCUCUGAAUAAUGAUUUCUUCUCUUCUCCUCUCUCCUCCAGGGGGAGAGGCCUUGGUUUUAUAGUCCCUUCAAGUGAAUUUGUGCCGUCGGAUCAAACCGACAUUGAUUGUGUGGUUUAGAUUGAUCCUUUAGGUCGGUGGAGUUUAGCCCCGAAGCAGAGUCCUGAUUGGACUCCUGGCCUGGGCGGGCGCCCAAGGGGGGUGGGCGGGCGCCCUUCCCCCGAGCCCGAUCCUCUUCUCGUUCGUUCCCGUGGCUUCUGGACUCUUCUAGAUUGAAGAAAAUUGCGCGGCACGUAAUUAUCUCAUUGUAAACAUGACAUGUGGGCCUUCUCUCCAUAUUCUCUGAUUACCCCCUGCAGAAAUAGAUAAACACAAAAGCUCGUGGAAUGCUGUCAGAUAAUACCCUAAUUCUAGAUGUUUAUUUCAGAUUGAUCCUUUUCCAUGUUUAUUUGAUUGUUAAUUUUAGUACUUAAGGACCGUCAACAGUAAUCUUGCUAAGUCUUGCUGAGUUAGUUAGUUAUCUUGUGUGAGCUUGUGAUGAAAGUUACUCCGUAAAUGAGUGUCCAGUGAAGUUUUAUUUAGGUUAUCAAGCAUCCAUCAUCAUCUAGGAUGCACACAUGCUUAUUCAUCGUGAAUGCAAUAGGUGCACCGGAAACGACCACUUCGUUCGAGCUCAAUCAGGUGAACGCCGAAGGCCAGGAGUUCAACCCGGAGGUGGAGGUCUAGCAAGCCGGGCACGAGGAGCCUGAAGAGGAGGUCGAGUGCCCGAAUCACAAGCCUGCAUCGUUCGUGAAAGGCAAGCCCCGGAGCAUCUUAAGUCUCCCACUUUAAUUUCGAAAGCUUAUUUGAAUAUGUUAUAUCUAUUGAUGCAUUACGUAUAGGAGUUGUGAUGAAACCCUUGCUGCAUUAUAAUUAUUCCUUGUCCAGAUAUCUUACCUUUACCUGGUCAUAGAAUUAGAAUCGAGUAGCAGCUUAGCCAUGCUCUAAUCGGUAGAUGUUGGGUGAUAUCCUGUCACCUGCGUGAAAUAGGGUUGUGUCGGAUCACGAUUGACUAUAUGUGCUAUCGUGGAAAGAACUUGAUUAAAAUGACUUAAGCCGGGUGGAGUUUUGCAAGGAUGUAGUAACUCCAUCUGUGGCAGCUAAGGACCGAUCGUUGUACGUCCUCUUGUCUUGUUGAACACAUGCCUAACACUUAGUUGGCCAGAUAACUCGUUCCGACCACGAAGCCUAGUAGUAUGACUCAGGCCGGAAGGCCGGCAAGAUAAAGUGUGCACUACCAGAGGAAGUGCGGUGUGCGGGGAAACAUUGGCGUAAGACCAAAGGCAGGUGAGUUAAAAGUCCUGACCUCCAUGGCAGAGUGGUAGCCCUGGGAGUGCGGCGCUGAUCGGAGCCGCGAUUCCUGAGUCAUACCAAAGGUGACCCGCUGGUUCUCCGAUGGGGGAUGCUUGGGUGAGUGCUAGGAAUAACCCUCCAGCUGGAUAGGAAUCAAUUCGAAUCGCCGUCUCUCCCGGAUAGUGAGAACUUGACAGAGCAGCGGCAAACGUAGCAUUCACUAAAGAACAAUGGUUCGUGAUAAUGAUGAUAGCAAGGAAGAGCACAUGAUGAACUUGAUAUGGUUAUUAUUGUUUGUAAUACUCAAGCGAAGUGUUUUAGUACAGGUGCUAAUCUAGUGAUAGGCUAAUAAAGAUUAAAUGGAUGCCUUUACAAAUGAUAUAGUAAUCACUUAAGCUUUUUGGCAAAUGAUGAAUCAAACCAGCUACACUUUAUAGUUAGCCUUUCAUGGUCCUUGGUGUCUUUUAUGUUUUUACUAGACGGGUAAAUCUAGCAGAGUACAUCCUCGUACUCAUGGUUUAUUCCACCUGUUGUAGAUGAUGUCUUUUAUGACGGCUUCUGCAAGACCUGUCUCCAUCCCGCUGGGGAUGAGGACUAAACCGUUGGGCACGGUUCUCUAACAACUUCGUACCUGUUGCUUUUGGAUGGAUGGCAUGAGACUCUGGCAAUAAGAGAAACGUUGGAAUGUGUGUUGUAAACUAUUUUGCUUCCGCUACUGCAAACUUGUGUUGUAAUAACUAAGUAACUCUGAUGUGGGGCUGCAUCGAUGGUAAUGAAUGAACUAUGUAACAUUCACUGUGUUAUGUUGAACUAUUACGAUCUUGGUUUGUUGCAAGUUGGUUUGAAGUCCUUCAUGAUUUCAGUUGACUACCGGGAUUAUAUGGGAUCAAGUGUGGAAACUUGAUUGCCAGUCGAUCGUUUCUACACUUGAACUCUUAUAAUUUGGUCGGUUCUGUGACAGCGGGUUUGCUUGGCUCAGAAUUGGCACCCAUGGCAUGAAUGAAACAGCUCGAUGGCGUCAACAACGACCGUUGGCCUGUAGAAGCCUUGCCGAAAAGCGUUGCCAACGAGGGUUCUAGGAGCCGCAUGGUGUCCACAAGCCCCCGAGUGUAGAUCCUCAAGGAGCUUUUGACCUUCCUCUAUGGUGAUGCAGUGGUCGGGCUUCGCCGGUACAGCUCCUUGCUUUUGCCAUAGAUCACGUAUGAUUUGGCUCGUCGAGCAAUUCGGCGGUCCUCAGCUCGAUCUUCUGGUAAUUCACUGUGGAUCAGAGAGUCGAGGAAGGGCGUGCACCAAUCAAAUGUUCACCUAGGGCAUCGAGGGGUUUGCUCAGCCUCCAUCAUUGCCACCGUCGUUCGGAGAGCCUCAAUUGUGUCGGCGGGCUCAGGAGUCGGUGCCUUGAUGCUUGCUCCUGCGCUAAGGUUGACAGAUGGUUUGAGCAGGUGUCUCGAGAACGUGUCUGGUGGGACAGUGCCUCGAGUUGACGCAAUCUUAGCAAGCUCAUCGGCUACUUCAUUGUUUCGCCGUGCGAUGUGAACGAGCUCGAGAAAAUGGAACUUGUUCUCAAGCUUGUGUACAUCCUUGCAGUAUGCCUCCAUCUUCGGGUCAUGGCAGCUCGAGGCUUUCAUGACUUUAUCUAUGACCAGCUGAGAGUCACCUCGAACGUCGAGGCGUCAGACCCCUAGCUCGAUAGCGAUCCUUAGCCCAUUGACAAGGGCCUCGUAUUCUACAACGUUAUUGGAUGCAGCAAAAUAUAUUCGAAUGACAUACCUCAUGUGGACGCCGAGGGAUGAGAUGAAUAACAGGUCUACCCCUACCCCUAUCUUCAUGAGUGACCCGUCGAAGUACAUCGUCUAGAGUUCUGCUUGGACCUGAGCCGGGGGAAGCUGGGUGUCUGUCCAUUCCGCCUUGAAAUCUGCCAGUGCUUGGGACUUGAUGGCUUUGCGAGGCACAUAGGUGAGGGUCUCCCACAUGAGCUCGACUGACCACUUGGUGAUCCUCCCAGUGGCCUCUUGAUUCUAGAUGAUCUCGCCUAGUGGGAAGGAUGAGACCACCGUGAUCGGAUGGCUGAGAAAAUAGUGUUGUAGCUUGCGUCGAGCGAGGAUCACAGCAUAGAUUAGCUUUUGGAUCUGGGGGUAUCGUACCUUUGUUUUUGAGAGAACCUUGCUGAUGAAGUAGACCGGCCGCUGAACUCGAAGUGCAUGCCACUCUUCUGGUCUUUUGAUCACCACAACAGCGCUAACGACCUGGGUUGUCGCCGCAACAUAAAGGAGCAGAGGUUCUGCGGGUCGAGGGGGCACACGGAUCGGAGCAGUGGAGAGCAUUCUUUUGAGUUUGUCGAGAGCUUCCUCAGCCUCGAUGGUCUAGGUAAAGCGCUUAGCUUUCUUUAGGAGUCGUUAUAAUGGCAGCGCUUUUUCCCCACCCUCGAGAUGAAAUGCCUCAGCGCCGCCAAACAGCUCGUAACUUUUUGCACACCCUUGACAUCUCGAAUCAGCCCCAUCUUGGUGAUGGCCGAGACUUUCUCGGGGUUGGCCUCUGUAACAGAACCGUCCAAUUUAUAAGAGCUCGAGUGAAUUAGCGACCACGAGCGCAGUCAAGCCAAUGGACUUGAACCCAUAUAAACCCGAUAGUCUGACGAAACCUCAAAAGAUCUCGAUUCAACCAACAUACAACCAAGACCGUACAUGAUCAAGCAUCUCCAUCACAGAUUACAAACAUUUGUCAUAGAACAUGGUUUUACACACAUCGGAGUUCAAAUAAAGUUAUUACAACAUAGUUCGGUAGAGGAAGCAAAGUAGUUUUGAAACAACACACACUUAGUUCAGUUACAUGCCAGUUCGAUGAUCAUCCCUACAAAAGCAUAACUGAAGAUAUGAGAGGUGAUCUUGCCCGAGAUCUACACAUCAUCCGCAGCUGGAUGGUGACAGUUAGCACAGUAGCCAUGAUACACGACAUCAUCUGCAACAAGGGUAAAUAGAAGCCUGAGUACGAGAAUGUACUUAGCUAGACUUACCUGCCAUAAACCAGAAAUAAAGUGACACCAAGGAGUAUGCAAGGCUCACAUUUGUGGGCUGGUUUGACUCACAUUUUGCAUAAAAAGCUUUAGUUUUGAGUAACACGUUUAUAACAUUUUCAGCAGCAAGUUCAUUACUUAAAACAGCUAUCCACUAGAUUAGCACCUGUUCUAAGCAUACACUUGAGUAUUAAGCAUCACAAUAAUAACCAUAUCCAGAUUAUCACAUAGACAACAUCAUUCUCAUCAUAACCAUUAAGUUUAUUUAGUGAGUUCUACGUUGCCGCUGCUCGAGUCAAGUUCUCACUAUCCAGGAGAGACAGCGAUUCAAAUCGAUUCCUAUCCAGCUGGAGGGGUAUUACUAGCACUCCCCAAUCAUGCCUCGUGAGGGUAGCUCGGAUCACCUUUAGCAUAACUCCGGACCAAUUCGCGGGUCCGUUCAGCGCCGCACCCCCAGAGACCGCCAAUCUGCUAGGGUCAGGACUCUAACCUGGCACCUCGGUCUUAUGCCAUUAACUCCCCGCACAUCCUUGCUACCAACCGGGGUGCGCACUCAAACAGAACUGGGUAUCCGGCUGGAGUUGCACUCGUAGGCUUCGCGGUCGGAACGACUUAUCCGGCCAACAAAGUGUUAGGCAUGCGUUCAAUAUGACAAGAGAACGUACAGCGUAUCGGUCCUUAAACGACAUAGAUGGGGAUAGAUUCACACCCAAGGCCUUCACUAUCGUCAUCGCGCCCGGUCUCCAUUUUUGUUCAGCACAUGGUUAUUUUUCACGAUAGCAAAUAUAGCCAACCGUGAUCAAGUAUCCACCUAUCUCUCGCAGGUGACAGGAAAUCACCCGGCUUCUACCGAGCAAAGCAUGGCUAAGCAUCAAUUCGAUCCUGGACCUACUCAGGUGAGGUAUAAGAUGGACAAGGUAGUCAUUAUGCAGUAAGGUUGUCAUAUCAAUGCCUAACACUUAAUGCAACAAUACAUAACCAUAGUUAAUUGACAGCUGGACACGAUAACAAAAAUAGUGGGAGUCUUAUAAUGCUUCGGGGCUUGCCUUCGAUGUUGGUGGAAGGACGGUGAUCAGGGCACUCCGGUAGAUCCUCCUCCUCCUCAGCUCCUUCUCCUUGAGGUGGCUCCCUCUGCUGCUCCUCUGGCUCGUGUGGUGUGAAUUCCAGAACCGUCACGCCCUUGGGUACACCUAUGUAUGCAUGGCAAGGUGAUAAACAUAGGGAAUGCACAUAUGAUGCAAUAUGUUAUGAUGUGGAGCCAAAGGAACAUAUAACAAGGAGCAAACAUGAUCACAAGUUACUAAUAUUAACUGAAUCACCAAAUAACAAGUAAGUGCAUACUUCUUCUCCGGUAGAGAGGCUAACUAGACAAGCUAACCAACCUUAGCUACUCAUACUCCACAACUGGGGUCAUGGGCAGACUGGGUAGUCAAAAGUUUUAGCUAUAACUUGGUCAUCAUUUGGUCAAACUAAGCAAGUAAGCACUUUCUGGAAAGAUUAACAAAUUAUCUACAAAUCACUUUUAGACAUCAGAGAAAUAUUCUAAACUGAAAUAGGCUAAAACAGACAAAGUCUCAGACCUGCUCUGGAAAAUCCAGAGAACAAGCACUUCGCAGUAGCUAAUUGUAACAGCCACAACUUUUAAACUACUCAGCCAAAUGCUAUCAAAUUUGGAUACAAGGUAGAUAAGUAAAUUAGCUACAAGUUUGUUAUAGACAACUUUUCCAGCAAACUUCAUCUUCAAGCAGUUCUUAAGCAAUUUCUAUCAGCUACCCAGAAUAUGCUCUAGACAAGGCAUAAAUAGCAAAAUAAUAUUUUAGCACAUGUUAAGAAUGUAACUUUGUUCCAACCAAAAGUACCAGUAGCUACAACAUGUCCAAGAAACACCAUAAAACAUCAUGGCAAGGUUUAAACUCAUUUUUAUUAACCCCUUUUCUAUUUAUUUGAUUAUUAAGAUGAAUUAAUGAGCAUGUAGUACAAGUGCUCCAAAAAUUUUCAAGGUUACUGUAAAAUUUUCAUGGCUCUUGCACAUGUAGAUUGUGAUGUACAAAAAUGACAAGCUACCAAUGGCAUUAAAGGCAUAAAUGUGAAACCUUAUCAAAAAGUGUCAAACAACAGAUUUAAGAUUUUUCUUAGCUUUUCUUUCACAUGUUUACAUCUCCUAGCAAUUUUCAUCACAAGAGGAGUCAUAAUUUAUUUAUUAAAAAUACCUCAAGAAACUCCUAUUUAAUCAAGGAAUAUUUAUAACUUCACCACAAGGCAUCCAAAAAUCAUGAGCAAUUUAUCAGAGCCUACACAUAGCAUAAAUAACAAUCUCCUAAAUUUGCAUGGUCAUAGGGCUUACAGAUCUCAAGAUAUAAUUACCUUCUUUUUAUCAAGGAUUAAAUAAUAUCUAUUUAUUUCUGCAAAACAUGGCAUGUUUCAUAUUUUUAUUAAAAACUAGAGCCACUCUAGAGUGUGGCAAAAUUGGAAUCACUCCAUUUGGAUCUGUCAAGCUCAAGUUAUGAUUUUUACAAAAACUACUCAGGAUCUGCAAAACAGUGGACACAGGGGAGAGAGUGAGAGGCUGACGGGUGGGGCCUGCUGACAGAUGGGUCCCACGCGACAGAGAGACAGGGAGCAGAGACGAGCUCGGCCGUCAGAGAUCUCAUCGACGGCGAGGUCUCUGGGGAAACCGAGGGCAUCUACAUGUUCCUCACAUCAAGGCGAACCUGUUGACCUACUUGGCUCACGCUCUACUGAAAUCUAGGGUGCUUGCCGUCGAGAAUGACAGAGCAGCGGCGCUGCGCGGCGAUACGCCGGCGAACUGAGGCCAUGGUGACCCAGUAGAGGUUGCGGACGAGUAAGAGCGAAGCAAGGGGAAGCAGUAGGAAGAAGAAUCACGGCUAGAGGUGAACCAGAGAGGUCUGGCCACAUUGCUGGUGAUCUCUGCGAACUCCGGUGAGGUGAAGUUCGCGACGGAGUUGGCAAUGUGACCACUGUUGGGUAUUCUUAACAUCAUUACCAAAAGUAGACUAAGUUCUCUAAAUCUAGUAACGGUGCCAAAAAUGCCAAACCUAUCCCUCACAACACUUAAGCCAAGUUGUCAUCCCCAGCAUGAUAUAAGAGACGCGGUAUUGAAAUAUGCAAUUGCUCUUCUAAAUAAAUAAUAAAUGGGAUCUGCAAGCGCACAGAUUAAUACCGAUGCAGUAUUUUAACCGAGAAGUAUUCCAGGUAUCGUUAUUUAUAUUUUUACCACUGGGAAGGGAUUAGCAAUCAUCACUAUUGAUUACAGAAUAGAAUAUGAGAUUGAGCAUCUAUCAUUGCAUGUAUAAUUGAGAACAUUUAUCUAUCUCUUCAUACAGGGAUAAGUGUCACAUAAAAGAUAUAUAAAAUAAUAAUAGUGAUAAGGAUAACUAAUCUGAUCUAGCCACAUAAUAAAUAUGAUAAGCACCUCAAUUAGAUACUCUAGAAAGUCAUUAGCAUGGAAUUAGAACGAACUACAAGAAUAUUUCCUAAGUUAUUCUCAACUAUAUAGUCUAGCAUUAUCAUGGUUAGUGUAAGCAUACUUAGCAAUCAUUGUGAGACAAGACUACGCCCAUGCAUAGUGAUAUUAGCCAGGUAAAUGAGAAACAUAGCAAUCACUCCCCUGUAAUAAUAUUGCUCUACCAGCCCAAUAUACGAGAGGGGGACUAUAUAAGAAUCAAUAAAGCUGUCACUAACACGAACCACCCCACGAUCUGGCAUAUUGGGUACAAUCGCAGAUAAAUACGGUAUAAGCACCACGCCUACACAAUAUCUAUCAUUUACCCAUGGAUCCGAUGGAUAAACGCUAUACGAUCCUAAGCAUGUAUAUAGAUCCAAUCUAACUAAGCCAAGUACAUAACUAUGAUAAACUAAGAACAAUAUAAUCUUGAAUAUAAGCAAGUAGAGCAAAGUCAUAAGCAAUAUAUUGAAGUAGAACAAAGUCAUAUUCAUAAUAUUGAAGAACAAAGAUAAUUAGAAGAACAAUUAGAAGCACAAUUAGAGAAUUACCAAGAAUCCUCCUGAAAGAUCCGGAAACCAAUCGAAGAUUGACUCCUUCUAGUUCUAAUCCUAUGUAGCUAUGCUAAUCUAGAUAUCUAAUUGAUGUGGUGGCUCUAAUCUUGAUCAGAGGCAUCUUCUCCCUUGAAGAACAAUGAAUUAGGGUUGAGUCCCUCCUCCAGGGGCCAGGGGGUCUGGUUUUAUAGUCCCUUCAAGUGAAUAUGGGCCGUUGGAUCAAACCGACAUAGAUUGUAUGGUUUAGAUUCAUCCUUUAGGUCGGUGGAGAUCUCCCACGAAGCAGAGUCCUGAUUGGACUCAGGAGGUGGGCGGGCGCCCUGACCAACUGGGCGGGCGCCCAGGGUCAGGCCCCGUUUCGCCUCCGCUUCGGUCUCGUGGCUUCUGGAGUCUUCUAGAUGUAAGAUAAUUGUGCGGCACGUUAAUAUCUCUAUGUAAUCCCGACAUGUGGGCCUUUCUUCCGUAUUUCCUGAUAACCCCCUGCAGAAAUAGACAAACACCAAAACUCAUGGAAUUCUGUCAGAUAAAACCCUAAGUUUGGAUCUUGAUUUCAUUUGGAUCCUUUUUCUUUAUUUAUUUGAUAAUUAAAUUUGAUACUUAAGGACCAUCAACAAACUCCCCCAAGCUUACCUCUUGCUCGUCCCUGAGCAAGGAUAGACUCAGCGAUGGAUCAGAAGUUGUUGCAAUAUUUUAAAAAUUGACGGUACACAUGCUUUUUUAAAUAAGAUCUCAUCUCUGAGUUAGAGUAAACUGUCAAGACUUAAAACUUACUUACUUUACCUUCACCAUGGGACUUGUAACCGUCACUUCUGUCUUGAGUGGUUAAAAGAUAGAACAGUCUAGCCAAGUGCCAUGUCUCUUAUUCUUGAUCAACUAUAGCUCUGGUGUUUUUGCAAAUUUUCAAAUAAAACUUAGAGAUUCCUUGUAUGACUCUCUCAGAUCUCUCUUUUGUGGUAUUUCUGGAUCCUUACCAAGGCAGUGAUGGUAUAUGCCUUCUCUCAAGAUAUGUAGUAUUUAUGGUAUAAAGCAUAGUAACAUAAUCUUCUCUCUCACCCUACUCUAAUAAUGUUUUAAUAUCUGGAGCUCAUAGGUGGGAGAUAAAGUAUACAUACUUACAAGACAUUUAUUGCAUAGUCAAACCAUGGAUCCAAAAAAAACAAGUCAAUAAGCCAAAUCAAGAUGUGCAUGUGUGGCGAAUGAAUGGUGUAUGGUGAUAAUGGUGAUAACAAUGGUGGAAACAAUGGUGGUGGAAGUCUAAUUCUACUUUGCUCUUUGAGGGGAUACAUACCUUCCUUGCUUUUUGAAACUUUAUGAGGAGAAUGAGAUGCUCUUCUUUUUCUUUUCUCUCAGGUGGGUAUCUUGUACCCCUAAUUCUACUAUCGGACACUUGUCCAUUUUUACCUCUAGUCUCACUUUUUCUUUCUUCCGAGGUUCCGAGCACUUGCUCCUUUUUAUUUCCUCGUAUUUAUUAUUAUGUUUUUUUAAGCACUCAUCUCUUGAGAUAAUAUAGCAAGUGGUAGUAACAAGAUAACUUGAGCAUUUAUUUCACAAGGAAAAAACAGGAAUAUUUUUGGUUAUUCUCUCCCAAAUUAGGAGUAGAAUAUUUUUGGGUGAUUCUGGAGAUGGAAAUGGAUGGAUAUAUGUGGAUGGUACUUCCGGAGGAGAAGUAGCAUAUAUGAGUGAACGUGCAAGUGAAAUCUUGAUUUAACCACAUGACAAGCUCCUAAGGGUCUACACAGCUUGACCACACUCAAUGCUCAUAAGUAGUAAAUAUUAAAUGUGUGGCUCAAAGUCUAGUAAGCAUGUAUAUAUGGCUGUGGUAGGAAUUUAAACUCUCAUCAUACAGGAACUCAUCAUGCAACAUUUAAAGAUUUUCAAAGACAAAAUUCUCCACAAUUCUAGCAUCUCUAGGAACAGAUAAACAGCAGCUCAACCUUCCCAUAUCGUAUCCAUUAACAACUUAGACUUCAGAUCAAGUUUUCAUCCCACAAGUUUAGGUCUAGAGCAAGCUUUAAAUUAUAACAGUUAUGUCUAAACUUGAGAGAGAACUUAAAAUAUGCAAAUUAGGCAGAGCAACUAUUCAUCAUAUCCAUGCUUAAGUUUUAUUUAGAUACAGAUUAGCAUAGCCACUUUAUUUAUUUAUUAAACACACUAAGCAAAAGACAUAUAUAUAUAUAUAUAAGCACAAACUCUUUAUUUGGUUUUCCAUAGUUUAUGUGUAUUUAUAUUCUAAAAUAAUAUAAGUAUAAAGAUAGACAGAUAGAAAUACUUAUCGAGAUAAAUGGGGGUGCUCUCCCCCAAGCUGAAUUUUGACGUAAUUUCUCUUGAUGUAGCUAGCAGGUGGCAGAGGUGUAUUUGAAAGUCAGCAGCAUUCUGACAGCGAUUAGAAUGUCCUCCGUCUGCCAGUCUUCUUGAUUCUUAAAUUCUGUGGAGUUCAAAUAGACAACAAAGCUUGUGGAACUGGUUAAGUGUUAGCAUAAAUAUCUAGCCUUUAUCAUGUUGAGACUCCUUAAUAAAUAUUACUCCCUGUUUUUAUAUUUUUAUUUUUAUAGAGCAGAAAAAUAAUUAUUUUAUUUUUAUGCCACCACAGUGAAUGUACUUAUGGGUUUUAUGCCACUCGUAUACUCACAUGGGGCUUACUGUUUUUCGCAUUUUUUUUUCUUUUUAGGAUAGCACGAACUUAAUUAACUAAGUAAACUAUUUAAAGUAAUUGAAAGGGAAAGGAUAACUACCAAGUUUACCUCUUGGCAAGGCGUUCGGUGUUUUUAAGUCCUCCGAACGGGACUCUCAAUUUUUUUCUUAAUCGUCCUGAGGUUCGUUGGGUGGCGUAGUCGGUACUUCCGGCAGCGCCUCCUCUUCAUGUAUAGUUAUCUUCAUUUUCCAUACCUGACUUGGUGCUUCCGUCUCCUCUGGAUAAUUCUGUUUAAACUCUACGUCUUCUGACCUUACAACUUCUCCUUCAUAGGCUGCCCAUCCGUCCUUGAUGAUCUGCCUCCUCUGGUUGCGGUUGCGUCGCUUUCUUACCUGCUUAGAUUAUUCAACGAUAUAGUUAGGGUCAGUAAAAUAACGGCGUACCUUCUCUGAGGGGAAGUGCAUAUGGACUUCUCUGGUUCCAAUGUAGAUAGUUGCUUUAACGGUGCUGAGGAACGGUCUUCCAAGGAUGAUGGGUGGAUCGUACUCAUCUUCUCCCAUGUCAAUAACUUGAAAGUCUGUGUAGACAAAGUGAUCGUCUAUUUUGACUGGGACAUCAGAUACUAUUCCUUUAACUUCUCGAAAUGUCUGAUCUGCCAUCUGGAGCUGAAUGUAUGUUGGUCUUAGUGGCAUGGUUCCGAACAAGAGCCGAUAGGUGACUGCGGCCAUUAUGUUGACGCCCGAUCCGGUGUCACAAGUUGCCUUGUAGAAGUUGUAUCCAUUUAUGGAGCAGUAGAUGCUUGGCAUUCCUAGGUCGUCCUUCUUAGUCAAAAGCGGUGACUUAAGUUGGUGAUCUUGUCCUCCAUAGACUACAGUGACCAUCUUAGCUGACUCGGUCCACACUUGCUUGUUCCUGUUCCUCCUGUUGGUCCUGUUCCUUGAUUCUCGUCUGGAUUGAUUUGGAAUUUGUGUAAUCUUGUUCUUGAAGAAAAAUGUCUCCUUCCUCCCUUUGACGGAGAAACUGAUCUUAGCAGCACUAGCGUAGAUGAUAGCUCCCGUGGUGUUCAAGAAUGGCCUCCCUAAGAUGAUGGGUGCUCUCUCAUCAUUUCCGGUCUCUACCACUACGAAGUCUGCUGGGGCAUACAAGGUACCAACUCGGACACAAAGGUUCUUCACUAUUCCUUUUGGAAAAGUUAUCGUCUAAUCUGCAAACUGCAAACACAUGGUUGUCUCUAAUAAAGGAUAUGUAAAGAAUUUUUCAUAGAGUACCGUGGGUAUAAUGUUGACACUAGAGCCAAAGUCGCAGAGUGCUUCUGGAACGUCCACCA